UCACAGCCCUUCGAUAUUUGUCGAUAUGGAAUCUUCCGAAUCUGGAGUCAUUUGCAGAAGAUGGGGGUUUGCCUCCCAACCUCCGAUCUUUUAGCAUUUGGAAUUGUAAGAGACUGAGGGCUUCAUCAGUGGGAGAGUACUGGGGUUUGCAAGCACUUGACUCCCUUGAGAUCGAUGGAAGUGACCAUGUCUUGGAGACGUUGCUGUUCCCUGCCACUCUUCACACUCUCCGCAUCUCUGAUCUAUCAACUCUGAAAUCUUUGGACGGAAAGGGUCUUGGACACCUCACUUCUCUUCAAAAGCUAGAAAUUGACAGCUGUCCAAGUCUGGAAUUACUGCCAGGAGAGGAACUUCAACACCUCACUUCUCUUCAAACUCUAAUUAUUAGUUCGUGUGGCAGUCUCCAAUGCCUGCCAGAAGAGGAUUUGCCGUCAUCUCUUUCUCAUCUGAGUAUCUGGCGGUGUCCUCCCCUGGAGAAAAGGUAUAAGAAUAAGACGGGACAAGAUUGGGCAAAGAUAUCUCACAUUCCUUGCAUCAAGAUAGGAUACGAACUGAUCAUAUAAUAUGAGCUAUUCCAUAUUUCAUGCUCAACCCUCAACUCUCAAAUCAAAGUCAGGUGAGGUGUGUGCCUUCUCUUACUUUAAAAAACUGCUUCUCUUCUUCUAAUUGAAUACAAAAACCAAAACACAUAUUCUCUUUCUCUUCCAAAAACCCAAAUACAUGUUGGACAUUGCCCAAAUUUGAUCUCCAAAUUCCUAAUUAUUUCACGCUUUUUGUUAUUUUAUGGUUGCUGGUCACAAAUUAUAUCCUACUUGGAGUAUCAAAUGCUGAAUAAUUAGCAGUCUUUUUGCAGGACGACAUACCUUCUCUUGGCCCUUGGGGAGCUUUUCAAAAUUUGCAAGGUUUCUUUAUGUGGCAUUUCCAGAGGAGGGUCACAGGGCGGAGAAACAGAAAAGGUUUACCUGGAAUAUCUCAUACAUUCCUGCAUGUAGGCAUCAAAUGUACACCAUUUUUAGGUACUUUUAUAUGAAAAAAAUUGUAUUUGAGUCUCAUUUGCACUAGUUUAAAUCAAAUUUAAUGCCUAUGGAUAGUCUAUUAAUAGGUUCAUGCCAUGAAUUAAUCUUUGGACUUUCCCAGGUACUGCAGGUUUGUUAUUAAUGUUGUGGCUAGGUUGUCUUACGUUGAGGAGAGAGAUCGAUCAGCAAUUACAAAAUUGUUAGCGAAUUUAGUUUGUUUAUCAUCUCUCUCCUUUUGUUUGUUAAGUUUUGUUGUUCUAGGUUAAACCCUUGUCCCCGCAUUUCACAGCAACUCUGUGUUAUUCCACUCUGUUUAGAUUUCAUUUAUGUUGUGAUUCGACUGCUGCUGUAUUUUAGAUUUCGUUCAUGUAAUGUUAGGAUGUUUAAUCUCUGAUCUGUGGUGGUAGUUGAGUAGUUGAGUAGUCUAGUUAAUCCAGUAGAUAACUUGUCCCCUGUUUUGUAUUGUUUUUAUUUCUCUGGUAAUGAAAGCACGUUUCUUAUAAAUAAAUAAAAAAUAUUUCAUUGAUAUUCAUUGCUUAUUUUGAACUGCAGAAGCCUACUUUUGUCAGAGUCAGUAGAUGCCAGAAUGAAGUCAUUGCCUAAACACAUUGGCACCCUCACAGCCUUCGACAUUUUGGGAUAUAUGAUCUUCAAAAUCUUGUGUCAUUUGCCUCCCAACCUGCAAUAUUUUCAUAUUUUAAAUUGUGACAGACUGAGCCCUUUGGUGGGAGAUUACUGGGGUUUGCAAGGACUUGGUGGCAAUAUCUUGUAGACGUUUCUCAAGGAACAGCUGCUCAAUGCCACUCUUCGCACUCUAUAUAUUAUGGCCUGUCAGUCUAAAAUUCCUGCCAGGAGAGGAACUUGAACGCCUCUCUUCACUGCAAAGGCUACAUAUUUGUGGGUGUGACAAUACCCAAUUCCUGCCAGAAGAGCGUUUGCUGCCAUCUCUUUCUUAUCUGUGCAUCGACCAUUGUUUUGCCAUGUAGAAAAGGUAUCUCACAUUCCUUGCGUCAAGAUAGGUGAAGAAGUGAUCAUAAGGUAUGAGCUCUCUCUCCCUCUCGCUCACAUACAAAGUACUUAAACACUCAAUCUGAUUUCUAUUAUUAUUUUGCUCAGUAAAUUUUGUUUAAAUUUGCUUUAUUUCUCAUUGCGCUUGUUCUGCUUAUCACAACUUAUAUCCUAUUUAAAUCUCAAAUGCUGAAUAAUUAGCAGGCUUUUCGCAGGACAACAUAUCUUCUCUUGGAGAGAUAUUCAUUUGCAAGGUUUCUUUAUGUGUCAUUUCCAGAGGAGGGUUUACUAUUUAAUAGAAAGGUUCACCUGGAAUAUCUCAACUGACACAUUCCCAAAUACAAGCAUUGAAUGCACAACAUUUUGAGGUACUAUUUUUGUAAUAAAAAUGUACUUGAGUCUCAUUUGAGCUAGUUUAAAUUGUAUUCAAUGUCUAUGGAUAACCUGUGAGCUUAAGUAGUAAGAUAAAACUCACAGUAUAUUAUUAGGGUUUAGGGUUCAACAGGUGAGCUUUAGUUGUACUUUCCUAGGUACUGCAUGUAUAUUAUCUUCGUAUCAACAGGUGGUCUUAUGUGGACGAGCGAGAACAUUGAGGAAUUACAAAAUCUUCUUAGCUUGUUUCAGCUCUGUUUGUCAUCCCUCACAUUUUCUUUGUUAAGCCUUGAUUUUUUAUUAGACAUAAGAAAAAAUGCUUUUAUAAGACAGGAGAUGAAUGCUUUUAUAUGUUGAUGUCAUAGUCAGUCUUCAACCACACUCUGUUUUUAGAAUUCAUUUAUGUUACAAGUGGAGUGCUGCUGUAUUUUAUAUUUCGUUCCUGUAAUGUUUGGAUGUUUAGCUUGAGUAGUCUAGCUUAUCCAGUAGAUAACUUGUCCCCUGUUUUGUAAUGUUUUUGUUUCCUCUAAUGAAAGCAGGUUUUACUUAUCUUGAAUUGCAGAAGCCUACUUUUUGACAUAGGUGGCAUGGCACAAACUCGCAUCCGCAUUUCCUUCCCCAUUGGCAUGCUGUCUCAUCUUUUCUAUUCUGUUACCAGCUUGAAGCUUGUGUAGACAUGUUAUGCUCUUGUAAUUCUGAUCACAAACAUCACUUGACAAAUGGAAAGUCACAAUCAGAUCUUUCAGGUGAUCUGGAGGUUUACUUUCUAACAUUUGUUUUCGUGGGGGGGGGGGGGGAGGACAACAAUACAGAAUUUAAAAUUUCUGAUAAUCAAUAGUAGUUUGCAUAUAUCAGCUGGGACCUGUAUGACUGUAUUAUGUAAUUAAUUAUUCUCUUAUUGUUUUGGUACUGUUAAAAGGAGUUAGCCACACAAAAUAAAAAAGGAGGCCUCUUAUUUCAUACUAAUCGUCUGGUCCAUCUGCUGCUUCACUCCCUAGUAGCUUCAUCUCCUGUCCUUUGCUUUAUUUCUGUUAUUUAUUUUGAUUUCAUGUCCAUUGCUUCAUUUCUGUUUGGAUUCUUAAUUAAAUCUGUCCUGGACUUGAACAAGGGUUAGGUUAGCUGUAUAAUUUGCGGUUUUAUAUACACAACUGUCUACAUUGAUUAAAACCAGCAUUAUUCUAAGGUUCAUUUAGAAUGUAUUAUCACCAAAAUUAUAAAGUAUACUUCUAUUACAAUUAAUUUGUUGAUUCUAAUUUGGACUUGUAGGAACAGACCAAACAUGUUCAUAUGUGGCAUUGCUCAAGUCAUCAUCAUUCGGGACAGAGAAUAAGCCUUCAAAUGUCUGCUGAGUCAAUGAACCUUUCUAGAUAUCUCAAGUGUAAUGGAAAUUGAUGAGUUACAAAGGAUUUGUAAACAUUUUCUACUGGAGGCUAGAAAUGCUUCAAAUAAAUGACUGUGUUGCAAUUAUUUUGUAGGAUCAAAGACUCUGCAAAGAGGUAAGAAAGUCAUCAUCAAAUAACUUUGCUCUUCAAACUUUUUAUUUUUAUUUUUAAAUAUCAGUAAUAACUGGGAAAGCUUGCAUCUCCUUAAAUUGCUCAUUCUUACAUCUUUUAUAGUUUGUUGAUCUUGGGCAAGUGGAGAGAGAGGCGUCAAGUGAUACACAACAACCAUUUUCUGUGAGCUGAUUUGAUAAAGAGAAAUGGUAUGCUUUCUUGUCUUAAGCGGUGUGUUCUGCAAUUAUUUGAAACAAAGGAUGCCGCACUUCAAGUUCGAGAAAAUCAGGUAUUUUAGUAUUUUAUUCUUGAGAAAUUUGAUUUAUGUAGAAACUUGAACAUGUAAAUGAGAGAAAUAUAUAUAUAUAUAUAUUAUAUAUUGUAUAUGCUGUUAAUGAGUUAAUAUGGUGCUUGCUCCUAGUUGGAAAUUUAUGUAGUCAUCUACCUAUGAUCAAAUAAAGAUGAAAAAUAAAAUAAAAUUGAGAGCAUCUUCCUCUCCCCUGCUUUGCUCAUCCCUUGUUCUUCCACUUCAGCCCCACUAUUACACCAUUUUUUCAGCCACAAUUAUAAUAGCUCCAUGAGCAUAUUAACAUCAGUGGCCACAGUUCCAUGAUUUGAGUGCACAGAAAGGUUUCAAAAAUUGUCCCAAAAGUACAGUCGUUCAAAGUGAAAGAGAGUUUUCAAAGCUUAAUUACAAGUUCAUGUUAUUUACAAUAGCAAAAAGCUUUCAUUCUUGCUUACAAACUUGUAUUUCCAAGUUCUGUAAACCUUGGAAUUUCACUUCAUCCAAAUCCCCUUCCAAAGCAGGAAAAAAUGGCAGCAGCUUUGAUUGGAGAGGCUCUCAUCUCUGCUUCUAUCGAGGUGUUGUGUGACAGAGUUACUUCAGCCGAGUUCAUAGACUUAUUUCAGCAGAAGAACUUGAUGAAACACUCCUCAUGAACCUGAAGACAACACUGUUGAUUUUGUUUGCGGUGCUCAAUGAUGCAGAGGAGAAGCAAAUUGUGAACCCUGCUGUGAGAGAGUGGCUUAACAGCUCAAGCAUGCUGUCUUUGAUGCAGAGGACUUAUUUGAUGAGAUUGACACUGAAGCUUUGCGAUGCAAGCUGGAAGGUGAGGAUCAAACCCACAAUAGUUAACCAACAAGGAUCUUUUUGAUUGUUUGAAAGAAGAGUCUUUGAUGAUUUGAAAGGAGAGGGUUGCUUUAUUUCUGUUGGAUGCGUAAUUAAAUCUUAUUUGGAGUUGAACAAGGAUUAGAUUAGCUGUAUAAUUAGUGGUAAACGCCUUUUUCUAAGGGUCAUUUAGACUCCUAUUACGAUUAAUUUGUUGUUUCUAAUUUGGACUUAUAGGAACAGACCAAAUAUGUUCACACGUGGCAUCGCUCAAGUCAUCAUCAUUUCAGACUGAAAAUCAGCCUUCAAGUGUCUGUUGAGCCAAUAAACCUUUCUAGAUAUAUCAAGUGCAAUGGAAAUUCAUGAGUUACAUAGAGAUUUGUAAACAUUUUGAAGAUUGCAACACCUGCAAGUGAGAUAGGCGGUGACGAAAUCAGAGCUGAUUUUGAAGCCUCUGAUGCCCCUGUUGUUGCAAGUUGCACCUGAGAACAUGUUUUUUUUUUCUUUGGGGUAAAAAAACUGGCAACAUGUUCGGAGCUGACAAUUCAAUCCCUGAUGAACUAGAGAAGCGAAGCUCCGGUAAGGAAUUGGUCAAGGUUGUGACAGGGAUGAUUGAUGGUGAAAUGGAUGCUAUUUCUUAUUGCAGCCUGUUCUCAAAGUUCUUGUUGGCAAAUGCAAGAGAUGGAGUAUUUUGAUUGGGAGGAGAUAUAAUGACAUGGCUUGACAAUUCUAGAACAGCCCAUCAUUAAUCCCAGAAAAAAUCCAGUUUCUGCUAAACAAUCACUUAUGGCAAGGCCAACUCUGUAAAUGGAAUUUGUGAUCCCUUGAAAUUGUACACAUUUUUUCUUUUUGAGGAAUUUAAUCAAACAGUAUUCUAAUGUAUUAUGAUAGCACUACACGCUUUUGUUGUAACAAAUUACAAGGAGGAAUUUGGAUUGAGUUUCUUGUAUAAGCACACCUUACACAAAUUUGGUAUAUUUUCUUCCAGCAAGUCUGUUUAUUAACCCCCUUAUCUGAAAUUAAUUGUUAAAAGUUUUGAUUCAUCUUUAAUCAGUGUCUAACCCUUGUUGAAUAACACUCCUCUUUCUAAUUUAUAUUUGAAGUUUGAGGUUUCAAUUUCAAUUGUGGGCUUUGAUUUUACAGAUUUUGUUUGUCAAUUUCAGUUUGGACAAAGCAUAUGCAAACAAAAUAAGCAUUUUAUGUUAUACUUUUGAAAUAGGUGUUGAUUUGAUUUAAUCAUAAGUUUUGCUGGUGCAUUUACUAGGCUAUCAUUCAAUACUUUUGAUCAUAGAACUUCUUUGGUCGAUAUUAUCUUUGUUAAGUUUAACCAUAAAUUUAGAGAGGGGACUUCAACAGAUUUAUAAUCUCAUCAUUAUAGUAUUAAAAAUUAGAGAUUAAGGCAUUGUCUAUUAUCUGAAUUCUGCUUACUUUUAGUUCAUAUGUUUACAUCUUAGCAUAUUCAUGCGAUUAGUGCGGCUCAUACCACAAAGGCAACUUUAGGCUCAUCAAGUGCUAAGCAAUGUCAAGCUUCCAAGUGACAAGUUCUCUACAUAGUUUGAGACCUACACUUACUAGAUAUUAGAUCAUUUCGAUCAUUUCCAUAUGUUUAUAUGUAAUUGACAUGUUAUAACAAUUUUUGUAGCGUUAUAUAAUUAUUUAGCAAUUUAAUUAUUUCUUUGCAUCAAGAAAUAGUUCUUAAGUUAUUAAAAAAAAAAAAAAAGAUUUAAAAAAAAAGAUUUGUUGAUGCUUAAAAAGCAUCAAGAACAGGUAGUUUCUUGACGGUUUAGUGACGUUUCAUAACUGUAGGAGGCUUUUUCUUCCGACAGCUGUAAAUGGGCUGGGUUGCCGUAAAGGGCAGACUGAUGAAAUUGUCCCCUUUUGUCUGAGCUAGAAAAUUAAGCCCCAAAAUACUUCGAAAGGGCAGCAGAGCCUUAGGAAGUAUUUUGGUUACCCUCACCAACUAAAACAACAACAACUUACAGGUAAUUUCUUAAUGCUUACAGAUGAACUCUUGAGCUUGGCAUGAGAGACAUGUGGCAUGGAAGCAAAAUCAACAUGAGUUUAGCACUGAGGGGAAAUUUAGGCUCUCUUGGGGGAAAAAGGGAAGUGUUAAGGUGAGAGAGGAGAAGUUUGUAGGAGAUUUAGCUAAGAAAGGAGAAAUAUAGAACAAUGCUCUUCUGGCAGCUUGACAGAUGCUCUGUCUGCCAGAAAAGGAAGAUGGAGAAGAAAUGUGAAUAGUGCACGAGUUUGCUAGAUUUUUGCAGGUAAGAGAGGAAGCUUGCUCUCUGGGUCUGAGUUGAGUUUUGUUAGGUGGAAGAGACCUCAUUUUAUAGCUCCUGGAAACCAUCACUUCCCAAGAAACCCUAAUGGCUUCUACCCAUUUUGGCCAAGCUUUUCCAUUCCUUUCUCAUUUCCUUCCUUGACUUUACCCCUCUUGAUGAAAUCCUCUCUACCUAUUUGCACCAGAUCAGAGUUUUUUGAAGCUUAAGGCCCCCUUUUCCCGCAGUUGUCUCAAUGGGAGACUUUCAUUCCUAGUCAUUUCCUUUAUUGCUUUCCUUUCUUUUUUUCAUGGCCAAGUCUGGUGGGGAAAGGAGUUGGGAUAAAUAUGCUAGUUUGAAGGGUGCUUCUCUUCUUGGCAUCUUACACACUAAUACCCCUUGGUUCCUUGAAUGUUUUGGCUUUGAAACUUGCUCCCCUCCAUGUAUUGGAACCUCCCAGCAGCCCUGGUCAAUGAAUCUUCAGACCUUCUCUUCGUGGCUUUUAUUUUUUUAUCAACUGGCUAGGGCUUUUGUGGCUCAUUGGGGCAAUUGUAUGGGCUAAGGUGGUUCAUUAAGUAAGUGGGCUAUUUUUAUUAAACAUUGAGCUUUUUGGUUGAGUCACUAGGCUAUUUUGAUUGGGCUAUUGGGCUAUUGUUUCCUCUCUUGUGCUCACCCACAUGUUUGGACCAAAGAAAUGAGCUUGAGUCCUGAGGCUCCCAAGCGACCCGAGACUUUCCAUUUAUCGGUCCAUCAAUGGGCCUCAUGUUGAUUUAUUACCAUCCAUACCACACCCCACUCAAGCAAGCCCCGGGCAUUUGAGUGGCUUGGGCCCACUUAGGCUUGUAGUGUGGUUGGGUGCAAAAUAACGAUUUCGUGCUUGGCAUGUUUUAAUUUUAUCAUCCAUGGGAAAGGCUGCGAUGUUUGAUUUCGGCAUGGGCUUGUAGAGCUGGUAUGCUUUAUUUCAACUCCUAGCAUGACGAAUUAUUUAUUUAGCAUGGCACGUGAAUUACAACUCGCAUGUGGUGGGUUUUUGUGUACUACACCUUACGCCUCUUCUUAAUAGAACAUCGUUUCUGAUAAUUUAUUUGGGCCCAACCGUGAAUUUUUUGGAUCUCAAUAAUAACCAUCAUGAAACAUUACAUUUUGACUGACAUCAAGAAAUGGGGUAUCCCUUUCUUGAUAGUGGCAUCCAUGAUGCCUUCCAAGCCGUCAAUUAAGGGCUAUCGCGAUGCAUUUUAGUUGUCAGCAAAAGGUGUUUUUCUUGUACUAUAUUCACUCAAAAUCGUGUUUCAUUUAAGAUUAGUAGUAUGGUUGAAUACCAUUUGUUUUGUUAAAGAAUAUUAUACAUUAGGGAUUUUUGUAGAAAUGUCAUUUGAACUUAUACCUUAGUUUCAAUUUGUCACCUUGAAGAAAAAUUUAAGAGAAAUAUCACCUUAAUUUUUUAAAAUCCAUGAUUUGUCAUAUGACUUUAAGAUCAUCCAAUUUUCCAUCCAUUUUAAGGGUAUUUUAGACUUUUCAUUUUCAAGGAAAAAAAAGAGAUGAAAAAAGAGACCUCUCUCUUACUUUGUCCCCCAACCCAACCCCACCCGCCCCCAAAAACACAUCACAUAGGAUUGCCUCCCCCUUCCCCACUUUUCUUUUUUCUUUUUGUCAUACUUUUCCACUGUGUUUAUGUUGAAGGAUCUAAAGUUUGCUUGGUCACCAUCUUUUACGUAGGCUUCCUAAUUGUUGGUUUGGGUGGGUUGUGGGAAUUUGUGUGUGGAGGGCAAGGCUCUAUCUGACAGGACCCACCUCGAAUUCCUCGAAACCCGAGACGAAUCUUGUAGAAUUUCCGACAUCACACCGAUGCCGGGUCCACUUCUGAACUAAAUCCUCUUUUCCAAAAUUAAGGAAAAAUAGUACGAGGCUUUCUGCCAAAAUUUCGGCAGUCUUCCCUAUAAAUUUAACGUUUCAGCUUUGGAGGCCGUUCUUUCAUUUCUGCUUUGGUGGCCGGAUGAGAGAACGGCCGGCUAAAACGUGGCCAGCUGGCACUGCCGUCACGAGAGAGAGAGAGAGAGAGAGAGAGAGAGAGAGAGAGAGAGAGAGAGAGAGAGAGAGAGAGAGAGAGAGAGAGAUGUUUAUCAAACCAUUUUUGCCAAAAUUACGAUUAUGCAACUGAGGGUAUUUUGAUCGUAUCUUUUUCGUUAUAACUCCGAUUCAAGCCCACUACAUAUCUACGGACUCAUCUCGCCGUGCUCUAUGCAAUUGUAUAGUUGAAAUUCCCAAAUUCCAUCCCAGUCAAAAAGUCAACUUUAAACCUUAUAAAAUAUUCUAAGGGCAAAAUGGUCUUUUAUCUAAUUAAAUUAAUAAUUGAAAAUUUAUUUAGGACCGGGUCGUUACACUGUCGUUGAUGGACUGUGCGAUGGCACUCACACAAAGUCCUUAAGAAUAAAACACACACACACCAUGAAGAGAGUAAAACAAAUGCACAAAGAUUUAUAAAGGUUUGGCCUCCUGCCUACAUCCUCUUGGUGAUCCACCCGAGAAAUUCACUUGUACGUAAGAACAACUUUGGUUACAACUAAACCCCCUUAGCUUUCAUAAGAACCCUAGAUCUCUUUUCUCCCACCCUUGCUCCAACCCUUUGAUGCCCUUGUAAACACUCAAGAAUUCAUCCUUGAAUUCUAUCAUGUGUUACAUCUUCUCUUCUCCCCUUUGCCAACCUAACCCUACAAGUUAUAUUUAAAAUUCAUUGGACUUUAAGUACAAGUUAACUAGGAAUAGGAAACAUAAAAGACCCCAAAAAUUGGAGAAAAUAUGUCUAGAUCUCAUUAGGAAAUUGCACAACACGUGCGAUCCUCUCGAGCGCCUGCAAAAUCAUCCCUUUGCCGCUCGAGCUGCCGAUAGCUCAUGGGAUGGGGGAAUUAGAAAUUUUUUUUUUUCAAUUUUAAUUGUUUAAAAGAUAUACAAUUUAUUAAUAAUAAUUUUUCCAUUUUUAAAAUACCCUUGAAAAUAGAAAGAUUAAAAUGCCCUUAAAAAUGGAUGGAAAAUUGGAUGGUGUUAAGGUCAGAUGACAAAUCAUGGAUUUUGAAAAAUUAAGGUAACGUUUCUCUUAAAUUUUUCUUUACAGUGACAAAUUGAAAUUGAGGUAUAAGUUCAAGUUACAUUUCUGCAAAAAUUCUUAUACAUUAUGAUAUUCUAACAAUAAUUGGCUAAAAUUGAUAUGUUCCCUCUUUUAUUUUCUUUUUCUCUUUUCCUUUUCAUUUUAUGAUCCAAUCCUUUUCAUAUAUUUUUGUUCAAGACUUUGUUUUAUAAUGCUCUAUUACUAAUUUGGUACAGGUCCCUAAAAUCUCGGAGCCGCCUUAGUACAUUCAUAACGUACAUGUUCAGAGUUCAAGAAUAAUGUAUAGAAUGUGAAAUUGACGAUGCCGGCCUUUAUGAGGCAACAUCUUUAUUUCUUUGGUUAUUCCAGUUUAGAAUAUUUGCACAAAUGAGAUGACUCCAAGCAUAAAGUCACAUUCGACCAAAAAGCAUAAAGUCACACACAAAAAGAACACGGACAAUUGCUAAGUUUAUCCUUGUACCCUUAUUUUAUUGAUCCGACCCAAUUGAAAAAUAAAAAAAGAUGAUAAAAAAUAUUGUUCACUGCUUUAAAAUCUAUGAGUAGAGUCCUCCAUUUGAAAUUUGGUCAUUAUACAAAAUUGGAAUGAAAAAAGAAAAUCCUAAAGCUAUAUUUGAUAUAUUUCAUUUUCAUUUUUUGCUGGGUGUUAGGGCUCGUCAAUGGGCCGGGCCUGGCUAGCCCGGCCCGAAUUUAAUGGGCUUGGGCCAGGCCGGCCCAGGCUUUAAAGAGGAGAGAGAAAAUAUCAGGUCGAGUUUUUUAAGAAAAUUCAAAGCCCAAGCCUGACCCAUGAGCCGGGCUUGAGAAAGCCCAUCGGGCCGGGCCGGGCCUAAACGGGCCCUACUUCAUUCAAAAAAAAUCAUUAACUUAAUCAUAAGGUCAUUUUAGUCCAAAUUUGAGAUUAAACUCACUUAAUUCUAAUAUUUUUACUUCAAACCAAAUUCAUAAAACACCCAAUAAAGUCACACAACUUGUAAGAUUUUCCACAAAAAUAAUAAAACCAAGUAUUAUUUUUGAGGUUAUUACAUAAUUAGAUCGUAAUACGUUUUAAAAAAUAAUUUUUAAAAAUAAUAUUAAUAAGUAUCAAAAAAAUAUUUUUUUAAAGGAUGGUAUGAAUAAAUAUGCAAAUAUUUGGUGAUGUGUUCAAGAAAAGGAUGAUUAUAUUUGGUGGUACGAUUAUGUUUCGUGAUACGAUUAUAUUUAGUGAUGUGAUAUGUUGUUCAUCUUAUAUAUAUAUAUAUAUAUAAUUGUUGAACUAAUAAUUGACACAAAUUAAUGUGUUAAUCAUCCAAUUAUAAACUAGGAGUGAAUAAAGAAAAGUAAAUGAAAUGAAACAAAUUAUAUGUGUGAUUUAAGUGAUAUAAUCCUAAACCUAAACUCUUAUUUAUACAUAAUUAUAUAUGUAUGCGGGCCUAACGGGCCGGACUUUUGUGGGCGUGUCGGGCCGGGCUUUCUUGGGCUUAAUCAGGCUGGACCUAUGGGUCAGGCCGGGCUUCAAACACCCCAACACGAGCCUAGCCUAGCCCGCCUUGGGCCGGGCCAUCUCAAAGCCCAUAACGAGCCGGAUCGGGCUUUUUUCGAUUGGCCGGGCGGGCCCCCUCGACCCAUGAGCCCGCGGGCCAAAUGAUGAGGCCUACUGGGUGUUCAAUUUUUCUUGUUUCUUGUUGAAAAGAAAAAUGAUAAUUAAUAAAAUCUGAUUUGGUGGUUGUGCUCGUCACAAAUCAAUGAAAUGACAGCAGUGAUUUUGCAAGACAGCAUACCUUCUCUUGGGGUGCUUUUCAUUUUGCAACAUUUCUUUACGUGUAAUUUCCAGAGGAGGGUUUAUCAUUGUAUAUAGCUCUUCGGGUGGUUUUUUCUGCAAAACAAAUGUCACAAGGAAGGAGGAGAAACGGAAAAGAUUUACUUGGAAUGUCUCAAGUCUCCUUUGAGAUAAAGGCAUCGAAUGCACAACAUUGUUUUUGUGCUAUUUCAUAAUUAAAGUGUGCUUCCCAAGUCUCCUUUGCGUUUUGUAACUUGUAAUGUUUGUUUUUUUGUUUCCCCUGUUUUGUCUUUUAUAAAAGAAAGAGGAAUGCUAGCAACCUUCUCUCUAAUCUUCUCUUUUGGACCUUCUCCCUUUUCUUUUUGACAAGUGUCAUUUUCCAUACACUUAAAACAAUGACAUUAAUGCAUCACACAAUUUAGUUUUUGUUUUCCAAGUUUACCAUUUUAAAAUGUAUUGGCUUUUAUAUUUCCUUCAAUUAUUCACAUUUUGUUAUAACUUGUUUAGCACAUUAUUUUUUUUAAUUUAAAAAAAGUCAUAUUUUUUAAAAAUAAAAAUAAAGUUUGUUUCAUGACAUUGUUAUCAUUUUUAUUUUGUUUUUAACAAAACACGCAUUCUCUUUGGAAAAAUUAAAAAUUAAAAAACAAUUCAGUUUUUAUUUUCUUAUUUAAUUUUUAACAAGCUAGUAAGAAAGUUAUAAAAAAAAAUUAGCUUGUUAUUAAAAAAAAAUUAAUACAUUUAAUAAGGGUAAAUUUGGAAAACAAAAACUAGUUUGUGUGAUGCAUUAAUGACAUUGUUUUUAGUUUAAGGAAAGUGACACUUGUCAUGAGAAGAAGGGAGAAGGUCCAAAAGAGAAGGUUAGAGAGAAGGUUGUUAGCACUCCCCAUAAAAGAAAUACAGGUCUGAACCACACGGAUCUACUUGCAUAAUAAUGGACCAAAUUUAUGAUUUUUAGAAAGAACCUUCUACUGGUGGAAUCUUGGGCUACUGUUGUGGCUCUCCUCUGUGUGCCUCCUUUUUAGAAUGGUAAAAUAUUCAAAAUACCAGAAAAUGUUCAUGAUUAAUGCAAAUAUUAAGAAUUGAAAUUAUUAAUUAAAUGAAGAUAAUAUGGUAAAUUCACACUUUUUCAUAUUAAAAAAAUUAAAAUUAAAAGAAAUAUCAGAUAAUUACUCUUAUUUUUAUGGAACACAGCUACCCAUUAUCUUUUUUAAUUAUAAAAUAAAUUUAAAUUAUAAAAAAAAAAUCCUCUCACAUGCACGGAAGCGCGUGCUCAGAGGCUAGUUAAAAAUAAUGAACUUUGCUUCUGAUGUCUAUACCAGACCCACUCAACCUGCUUUAUGAUUAUACAAAGAACAAACUCGUCCUUAGACUCAUUUGGUUAAACUUAGAAAAUAAUGAAACAAAAAUAUACACACCCACAAGUAACACAGCCAGGAUUGAAAACAACUGGACAAAGAAAGGCAUGUUAAAACAGAAUUUUCAACAACUCAUCACCAUUAGACAAGAAAAAGAAAAAUCAAUACAGAAACAGAAAGAACAGAGAAUAAAUGUGGUGGAAGAAAAACGUUGAAGCCAUUUGUGAAUCCAACAACACUACCACUCUGUUUCUCUCCUUUUGUUCAGGCGGAUCUGCAUAUAUCCUAAGGCGUAUUACGGAAACAACUUCUUGCCGUUAUACUUGAAUGUUGUGGAUGCUUCAACGUUGCCAUCUGGGUGGAGUGGAUUUGUCCAAUUCACCUUCACUAUGGUUAAUCAACUAGACAGACAUAAGUCAGAAACAAUAGGUAUAUAGGUCCAAAUUGUUGUUAUUUGAAAGGCUUCUAAAUUUUAACAUUUUGAUUUCUAAAUUUUGUUUUAAUAUUUCGGCCCACUUAGUUCUUCUCAAAAUAUGUCAUCAAUAUCGUUGAAAGGUUGAACUUAGUGAAUUAUUAUAGUGCAGUACGGUAAAAUAGGCACAUGAUAUAAUUUGUCCACAUGUUCUAAUAUAAGUGAAUAUUUAUUGAUAUUAUUUUCAAAAAUAAAAAAUAUCAACCAUUACAUCCUCCCAUAUUAUAAUACAUAUACAAAUUAUACCACAUUAUCAUACUCUAAUACCAUUUUAUAAUUUCUCGUACUUAGGAGGUAUAGAGCGAGUCAAUGACAUUACAUAAUAUAUAAUUGUUCAUAUAAUGGGGCAACUAACGUGAUCAACAAGUUGUGGUGAUUAAUUUAACAUAAUAAAAAACAUACCAUUUACUAUGUAACAAUUUGUUCUUUUAAAUUGGAUUGUCAUCACUUUAAUAUGUUAUGUUUCUUAUUCUAGUCUCCCAUGUUAAGUGCUUCAGCAUUGUUUGUGGUGUGUACACAAAUUUUCUUAUAAAAUGUUUUAAUGCUUCUCACAUGUAUAUCAGAUAUAGACAGUUGAUGUGACUUAGAAAUCAAAUUGUCAAUAAAGAAAAAAAAUAUAAUUGGUGAUCGAGGUCCAAUUUAAUAGAAAAUAGUCUUAAUUUGUAUAUUAAAGGUUUCAGAUUCGAAUCCUCACUGCAUUAUUGUUGUAUGCGUACACGAGAAAUUCUAUUUCCCAAUAAUUUAGAUUAUCACUUAUACUAAAAAAAAUAUAUAUAAUAAGUUUUACGAAUGCAAACAUAAAAUUACACCAAACAAUAAUGGAAUAGAAAGAUGGAAGUUUUUUUUUUUUCCUACAUCUAAAGUAUACUUUAUAUAUAUAUUUAUUAUGGGAGUUAUAACCGUUUAAUUUUCAGUUUUUAUUUUCUAUUUAUUGUGUUAAUUUUUAUGGUUUAAUAUGUAUGGAGAUUACAAGUAUUGGAUGUCUAUAAAGGGCCACUCCUCCUUCACAUCUGAAACAAACCACCAUCUCAUUUCUGUAUUUUCAUACUUUCAUAUAUUUUCUACUUUCCAGAUUAUUAUUUUUGGGCAACGGUUUUGUGACUUGGAGAUUUCUAUCCGAUUGUUAACAUGCUCAUAACGGACCUUGAGCUUGCGUAUUGGGGAUCGUAUCUUGGAGCCUUGUAGACCUUUAUUACGUGCAUGUAGGGAGGCUACAAAUGCUUUAGGUCAGCGUCUUUGACGUACUUUUGCUUUCUUUUUUUACUUAUUUCUUCGUUUCUUUAUUUUUACUUUACUUUUAAAUCUUUAUUUUAUGUAUUAUUUAUAUUUAAAAGUUUUGAAUAAGAGUUUUACAGAAAAGGAAAAACACAAUUUCAAAUAACACAAAUUUCUCGUUUUUUGUUCUUAAAAAAGAAGAAGCAUUGAUUGGGGAGUUAUGGUAAACUCAGUUUCAAUGGUUGCGAUGAGAGGCGGUGGCGGCGAGGAGAGGACGAAGGCUUUGCUGCCGACGGGGUGGUGUGGCUGGCUGCUUGGUCCUGGGUUCUCCUUUAAUUCUCUGUUUUCUUUUUUCAUUUUCUUUUUCUCUUAGAGUUAUUGAUGUUAAGUGAAUGGACAGAUGCCAAAAUAGGGACAGAAGAUGUGAACCCAAUUAUAUACAGCUGCUGCUAUAGCUGAUUACAUAAAGUAACAAAUUAAUUAAUGCUUGAGUGGAGGACAGGCUUGAGUGGAAGAAUUGAUUAAGGCUUGAGUGGAAGACAAACUUCAGUGGAGGAAAGUAUAGAUAAGGAAAGCAUGCCUCGUUUAACGGCUUUAUCUAAUAAAGAUUACUUGUUGGCACUUGGAGUUUCUUAGGAAUGCUGGUUUUGUUUCCUUGGUGGACUUGAAAGGUGGUGCCUUGGCUCGGACAUCUCCCAAGACAUACAACUGCUCAUUAGCUGAAUAUCUCGCUCUCUUUAAAGAGAUCGAAGCAAACACAAUUUGCAAUUUGUGUGAUUCAAGCAUGAAUAUCUGAUAUAGUAACUAUACCAUUUGUUGGUUUGAUAAGAAAAGUUUGGUUAGCGAGGAUGAAACCAUAAAGUUCCCAAAACACACAAAGAACACGGACAAUUGCUAAGUUUAUUCUUGAGUUCACACAUAUUUGCACAAAUGAGAUUAUUCCAAGCAUGAUUAUACCAUUUGUUGGUUUGAUGUGAAAAGUAUGGGCAACGAGGGGUAAAACCAUACAAACACACACGAAGAACGUGGACAAUACUAAAUUUAUCUUUACGUUAUUGAUCCGACCUAACUGUAAAAUAAAAAAGAUGAAAAUAUAUAAUGUUCAGUACUUAGAUCUAUGAGCACUUGCACAAAACAUCACUUUUGGUCUUUGGUAAAUUUUUAAAAUAAAUGAAUUUUUUACUUAUUUGUGAACUGAAAUGCCUCUAAAAAAAUAAUGAUAGUUCGAAGAAUUUGAUAGAAAUUAAAAAAUAUCCUCAAAUUACUUGGAAUUGAAGACCACAUAGGCAAAAACACGAAAUUGAAACCUCACUUUAAUGAUAAAAAUGGUAAACUACAAAGACAAAAAUGACGUCUUGCCUUAUAAAUAAUUGGAAUUUGCUGGUGAUAAUAGUCGAUAUCAUCUUUUGUCGGUCCGACCUAAAAAGAAGAAAAAGUUAAAAGCAUCUUGUACCAAUUUUUGCCAAUGUGGGCCCAAACAAUUUGAAGAAGUCCACCGGCAAUUUCUCAAAAGCUAUUGUGUGAGUGUGAAGCUAAACCAAUAUUAUUUUGCAUAUCCGACCCCACAUCCCCAUGUGAUGUGAGGCUACAGAGGUGUUUCCAAAACGAAAUAUGAUAUUUCAAAACGUAGCUAUGUAUAGAGUCAUUUGUAUUUGCUUUCACAAUAACAUUUGAUUUUAUAUUUAUACAUUCUGAUAUUUUAACAAAUAAAUUGACUAAAUUUGGCCAACAGGAUUUAGCCGAAUAGAAAAGUUCUUAUUUAUGGACUAGUAAUUUUAAAUUUAAAAUUUAGACUAUCGCAUGUAUUUAAAAAAAACUAAACAAUUGGCUUAAUUUGAUAUAUUUCCUUUUUUUCCUUUUUGCAUUUUAUGCUGGUUGCCGUUAUUAAGUUUUAUCCUUAUUUUUUGUUGAAAAGAAAAUUGAAAAAAAUAAUAAUAAUUCCUACAGCUAGCAACUUCUCCACCUACAAAAAAUAAUAUUUUUUGUUUUAUCCUCAUGUGAGGCUACAGAAAAUUUUUGAAAACGAAACUGGAUAUUUUAUCUCUAACGACAGCUUUCAUACUUCGUUUACCCUGUGUUUCCAAGUUGUGCUAGCUAUUUGCAAACCUUGGAAUAUUACUUCAUCCAAAUCCCUUGCAGAGAAAAGAAAGAUAUGGCUUUGAUCGGAGAGGCCCUCAUCUCUGCUACCAUCCAGACGUUGUGUGACAAAAUUGCUUCGCCUGAGUUCACCGACUUAUUUCGGCAGAAAAAGCUCGAUGAACAACUCCUCAACAAGCUGAAGACGACGCUGUUGACCUUGUCCGUAGUGCUUAAUGAUGCAGAGGAGAAGCAAAUUGAGGAACCUUUAGUGAGAGACUGGCUUGACAAUCUCAGACAUAAUGUCUUGGCUGCGGAGGACUUACUGGAUGAAAUCGACACUGAAGCUUUGCGAUGCAAACUGGAAGAAGGUGAAGGUCAAACCCACAAUUUAACCAAGAAGGUACGUGAUUUUUAUCAACGCAUGAAUGUUGAGAUGAAAGAUUUAUUAGAAAGAUUAGAACAAUUUGUACAAGAGAAAAGUGCUCUUGGUUUGAGAGAAGGUGCUGGGAGGAAGGUUUCACGAAGAACAACAACUUCCUUGGUUCAUGAACCUUGUGUCUAUGGUAGAGAUGAAGUCAAAGAAAAUCUGUUGCCAAUUUUGUUAUCUGAUGAUGCAAGUAAGGAUGAUGUGUCUGUCCUCACCAUUGUUGGAAUGGGUGGGAUUGGCAAGACAACCCUUGCCCGACUGCUUUAUAAUGACGAUGAGGUGAAAGAACAUUUUCCACUUCACGCUUGGGUUUGUGUUACGGAAGACUAUGAUUCUAAUAGGAUAACUAAAACUCUUCUAGAGUCAGUCACCUCAAAGUCUUCUAAUAUGACAGAUCUAAAUUUACUUCAAGUUGAACUAAAAGAACAACUCAAGGGAAAGAAAUUCUUAUUUGUUUUGGAUGACCUAUGGAAUGAGAAAUAUGGUGAUUGGAAACGCCUCCAAACUCCUUUUACUUCUGGGGCAAGGGGAAGUAAAGUCAUUGUAACAACACGGAGCCAACAUGUAGUAUCUGUCCUGCAAAGUGUUCAUGUUCAUCACUUGGAACCCUUGUCGCACGAAGAUUGCUGGUUCUUACUUGCAAAACAUGCAUUUGGAAAUGAAAAUUGCAGUGAUCCAAACUUGGAAGAAAUUGGCAAGAAAAUUGCACACAAGUUCAAUGGGUUGCCUUUAGCUGCAGAAACACUUGGGGGUUUGUUACGUUGCAAUAUAGAUUCAGAGGAAUGGAAUACAAUACUAAAUAGCAGUAUUUGGGAGCUACCCUAUGAUAAAUGUGACAUUCUUCCGGCUCUUGGGUUGAGUUACCAUUAUCUCUCCUCCCAGUUAAAACGAUGCUUUGUUUAUUGUUCAAUUUUUCCAAAGGAUUAUGAGUUUAAAAAGGAAGAUAUAGUUCAAUUUUGGAUGGCAGAAGGUUUAAUUCCAAAAGCUGAGAAUGGAAAGAGCAUAGAAGCGGUAGCUAGAAAAUACUUUGAUGAGCUGUUGGCACGAUCGCUAUUUCAAAAGUCAAGCAAAUCCGGUUUCACAAUGCAUGAUCUCAUUAAUGACUUGGCCAUGUUCAUGUGUAAGGCAUUUUGCCUUAGGUUGGAAGGGGGGGAAUCACAUGUCGUAGAAAAAGUUCGGCAUUUUUCAUAUGCUAUGGAAAGAUUUGAUGCAGCUCCAAAAUUUGAGCCAUUACAUAGGGCUAAGUUUAUGCGGACCUUUCUACCCAUAUCAUUAAAUUUUGUUUCCACUUCUUAUGUAACUAAAAAGGUUCUACAAGAUUUGUUGCCGUCACUAAGAUGUUUACGGGUGUUAUCAUUGUCACAUUAUCAAAAUGUUACUGUGUUACCUGAUUCUAUUGCAAACCUCAUUCACUUGCGCUACUUGGAUCUUUCCGGUACCGCAAUUGAAAGGUUACCUGGGGUACUUUGCAAUCUCUACAACUUGCAGACAUUACUAUUGUCAAAAUGUUUCUCACUCCUUGAAUUGCCUGCAGACAUUAGAAAAUUGACUAAUUUACAGAAAUUGACAUUGCUCGGUUGUAGUUCUCUUAAUAAAUUGCCUGCAGGCAUGAAGGAGUUGACUAAUUUGCAUCAUCUUGAUGUCAGUGGAACUAAAAUUGAAGAGAUGCCGGUGCAAAUGGGUAGAUUGAAAAGUUUGAGAACAUUGACUGCAUUUGUUGUGGGCAAAUCUACUGGGUUAGGCAUAAGAGAACUGAGGCAGUUCCCGCAACUUCGAGGAAAACUAUCAAUUUUGAAGCUACAAAAUGUAGUUGAUGCGAGGGAUGCACUGCACGCCAAUAUGAAGCACAAGAAAGAUCUCAAGGAGUUAAAGUUUUCAUGGGGUGCGGAGGAUGCUGAUGAUUCCCAAAAGGAGAAAGAUGUACUCGACAAGCUCCAGCCUUGCGUGAAUUUGGAGAAAUUAUCCAUCAAAUUCUAUGGUGGAACCAAUUUUCCGAAUUGGUUAGGAGACUCGUCUUUUUCUAACAUACAAGUCAUGCAUCUCAGUGACUGUAGUUAUUGUUGGUUGCUCCCACCAGUUGGACGGCUACCGGCACUCAAAGAGCUCUGUAUAAAAAGAAUGAAGUCUUUGAGGACGAUUGGCGUUGAAUUCUAUGGCAGAAAUGGAGCUUAUCUGACUCAGCCAUUUCGAUCUCUGGAGAAGCUAGAGUUUAGGGGGAUGCCGGAGUGGGAGGAAUGGGUACCAAGUGGAAGUGCAAGUGGAGGUGAAUAUGGUCCAGACUUUCCUCGUCUCCAAAAGCUGAUUCUAAACGAGUGUCCGAAGCUAAGAGGAAGUUUGCCUUGUGAGUUGCCUUGCUUGAAGAAGCUUACGGUGUAUGGGUGUAAGGUUUUACAUGAUGGAAGGACCGCUACCGCAACUACCAAUAGUGUUAACUAUAAAUCUCUGGAAGAAUUGGAUAUAAGUGGUGGAUGCCAAACUCUGUUAUCAUUAUUAGAGACAAAGCUCCUGUCCCGACUUCGGAUUCGAAAUGUUGUUGACAUACAGUGCUUGCCCAACUGCAAUCGUCUUCAACGUUUGACUCUUUGCCUAACGCUGUCAUCGUUUCCCAAAGAUGGCCUACCCACUACAUUGACAUCACUUUAUAUAAACAAUUGUAGGAAAUUAGAAUUCCUACCUCAUGAGAUGUUGGCCAAAUUAACAUCGCUUGACUAUUUGUGCGUACAAAAUAGCUGUGAUUCAAUGAGGUCCUUCCCGUUGGGCAUUUUUCCCAAAUUGACGACGCUUCAAAUUCGUGGUUGUGAGAAUCUGGAAUCUUUUUCCUUGAUUGAAGAAGAAGGAGCUGUUGACAAUCUCAGCCAUCUCAAUUCCUUGCGUGUCUAUAACUGUCCAAAAAUGGUGUGUUUUCACGAGGGAGAAUUGCCCACUCCCAACCUGAGUCACUUUGUAGUCAUUGGUUGCGAGAAUUUGAAGUCAUUGCCCGAACGCCUUCACACCCUCACUGCCCUUCGAUCUUUGAAUAUAUGGAAUCUUCCGAAUCUGGAGUCAUUUGCAGAAGAUGGGGGUUUGCCUCCCAACCUCCGAUCUUUUAUCAUUAGGAAUUGUAAGAGACUGAGGGCACUUGACUCAGUGGGUUUGCAAGCACUUGUCUACCUUCAGAUCGAUGGAAGUGACCAUGUCUUGGAGACGUUGCUGCUCCCUACCACUCUUCACACUCUCUGCAUCUCUGAUCUAUCAACUCUGAAAUCUUUGGACGGAAAGGGUCUUGGACACCUCACUUCUCUUCAAACUCUAAAAAUUUACAGCUGUCCAAGUCUUCAAUGCCUGCCAGAAGAGGGUUUGCCGCCAUCUCUUUCUCAUCUGAGUAUCCGCUGUUGUCCUACCCUGGAGGAAAGGUAUAAGAAUAAAACGGGACAAGAUUGGGCAAAGAUAUCUCACAUUCCUUGCAUCGAGAUAGGGGAAGAAGUGAUCAUAUAAUAUGAGCUAUUCCAUAUUUCACGCUCAACCCUCAACUCUCAAAUCAAAGUCAGGUGAGGUAUGUGCCUUCUCUUACUUUAAAAAACUGCUUCUCUUCUUCUAAUUGAAUACAAAAACCAAAACACAUAUUCUCUUUCUCUUCCAAAAACCCAAAUACAUGUUGGACAUUGCCCAAAUUUGUCUCCAAAUUCCUAGUUUAAAUCAAAUUUAAUGCCUAUGGAUAGUUUGUUAAUAGGUUCAUGCCAUGAAUUAAUCUUUGGACUUUCCCAGGUACUGCAGGUUUGUUAUUAAUGUUGUGGCCUGAUAUUCGUCGUAUCAAUACGUUGAGGAGAGAGAUCGAUCAGCAAUUACAAAAUUGUUAGUGAAUUUAGCUUGUUUAUCAUCUCUCUCCUUUUGUUUGUUAAGUUUUGUUGUUCUAGGUUAAACCCUUGUCCCCGCAUUUCACAGCAACUCUGUGUUUUUCCACUCUGUUUAGAUUUCACUAGCAGGAGAGCCCGCGCGAUGCUGCGGGUUUUGAAAUUGUGUAGACAAAAUUAGAUUGUUUAUAUAUACAAUGAGAUUUAAUUUAUAACAUUAUGUUUAACUACAGGAGUGUAAGUUGCAAAAAAGUAUAUAAUAACAUAUUUUACAGGCUACUUGUUAUGGUAAAAUACUAUACUUGUUUGUAUAUACAUUGAGAUGUUUAUAGUAGGAAGUAGGCAUCAAAAUAGCAAAAGUUGGAUAGUUUUGUACAGAAUGUUAUUUAAUUGGGCAAGCUUUGUUUUGCACUUGCUUCAUGAUUUUUCUUCUCUUUCAUGGAAGUCUUGAUCCUGUUAUAAAAAAAAGUGAGAAAAUAGUAAAUGUUAAUAUUGAUGAAUGGGGGAAAUUGAGUUAGGACAAUAAUCAUAAACAUUUAAUUAUGUAUAAACAGGAAUAAUAUAAUUUAUUGAUUUAAUAAGAAAGUUAUAAAUAGUUUUUCAAUCUAGGAAAUACAAAGUUACAAAAUUAAGAGAACUAAUGAGCAAGUUGUAGAUGGUUUUCUAAUUGAAGUAAUACAAAGUAAACAUAUUUUAAAUUUUGUGUUUGUCUAAAAGAAAAGUUGAAGAGAGGCAAAAUAAUUAUGGUUGAAUAUAUGGAGAAAAGGAUGUCAAUAUAAUGUUUAGGUUUUUAUGUAUUAGGAAUAUAUGACUUUUUUGCUGUUAUUUAGAGCAAAAAUUAUUUAAGGGCUUGACAUUUCUGUUAAAAAACGGGUAGAAUCUACCCUGAAAAAUGGACAUUUUGCCAAAAAAUUCACCUGUAAACUAAUUAGUACUGAAUACCGAUUGGCGAAGGCAAGACAAUCAUAGUUGUGGAGUACAUAGUUAGAAAGAUGAAUGUGCAAACGUACAUCUAACCCCAUGAUAUACAUCUAACCCCAUGUGAACAUGAUUUAUUCUACAACAAUGAUUAUCAAUUUUCUAAUUGCUCAUUUUCCUAACCCUAAUCAUCACAAACCCAAAAUUAACUCUAAAAAUUUCAAAUAAGCAUGGUUCUAAACCAAUUUCUAACUUACUUAGCGAAGUCUUUUCUAUAAAUGAUAGUUGUUGAAGAAAAAGGGAAACGAAAAUAAGCUUUUAGUGUAUAAGUACAUUGAAGCAAAACAUGAAGAGAAUCCAAUAUAUAACUUCAAUAUAUAACUUUAAUUUUCUAUAAGUGUUGAUCUAAAUUUACAUCCCUUACCACUCUUCAAUUUAAAAAUAGUUUUAGCUACAACAAACAACUUCAGAGAGAAGAUUUGGCCCUGUUUUAUAAGGCAAAACCUCUCUAACCACAUGACAUACAUCUAACUCCAUGUGAACGUGAUUUAUUCUACAACAAUGAUUAUCAAUUUCCUAAUUGCUCAUUUCCCUAACCCUAAUCAUCACAAACCCAAAAUUAAUUCUAAAAAUUUCAAAUAAGCAUGGUACUAAACCAAUUUCCAACUUACUUAGUGAAGUCUUUUAUAUAAAUGAUAGUUGUUAAGGAAAAACGGAAACAAAAAUAAGCUUUUAGUGUAUAUGCACAGCACAGAAAUUGCAUGUAGCUUUCCGAUUUUUAUCCCAACUUCGUUUCUGUGGAAUCACAAAACUACAUACGCACAGCACAGGGAAGGGAAAAAAAAAAAAAGGCACAUUUAAGAGACACCUAUCUUCUCAUUCUACAUCACAUCCUCUUUUCCUAGCUUUCCAACCUUGCAACCAAAGCAAACAUCUUUCCUGAUAAAGGGUAGGAAAGAAAGUGGUUGUGUGAAUUGGGAUGAGAGAGACAGAGACAGAGACAGAGACAGAGAGACAAAGAGAGAGAGAGAAAAGAGAAAUCAAAGUAUAUAUAUAAAUAGUAAGUAUAGUUUAUAUCAUGCAAAGUUUUGAUGGUUUCGUUCAAAAAAAAAACAGGGAAAAAGUUUUGAUGGGUAAUUCUAGUAAUAAUGUUCUUAUAAUUCUAUAUAUAUAUAGAUAUCAAACUGUACUACCAUAUUCUUCCUAUAUAUACACUUGGUCGUCAACUACCUCUCUCUCUCUCUCUCUCUCUCUCUCUCUCUCUCUCUCUCUCUCUCUCUCUCUGUGACCUGCAUUUAUACAGAACCAAUUAUUCCAUCUUCACUAUACAUUUUCCUCAUCUUCCCAUUCAUAUUUUAUGGCUCUCUUGUUCUUCCUCCUAAUUCUUUUGGUCCCUGCAAGCAAUACUAAUUGGCCACCAUCACCUGGCUACUGGCCAAGUUCUAAAUUCAGGUCUAUGAGCUUUUAUAAAGGAUUUAAAACUCUCUGGGGUCCUCAGCAUCAAAGCUUAGACCAACAUGCAUUAACAAUCUGGGUUUAAUGAGGCCAGAAAAUUUUAAGAACUUAUCUACCAAGCAUACCAAACUGACAAAGCAAACCAUAUCUGUAUUUUAUCAUCAAUUUCAUCAAUUUUAUCACCAACAACAGAUAAAAAAAGGGAAUUUUUUCAAAAAAAAAAAAAAGGAAAAAACAUAAAUAAAAAAAGGGGCACAUUUAAGAGAGACCUAUCUUCUCAUUCUACAUCACAUCCUCUUUUCAUUUUGAAGCGGUCAUGUGUUGUGAGUUUCUUGUUUUAUAAAUUUUCAAAACUGUUGUUUAGAACUGCAAAAUUCUUCAUCAUAUAUCUUGCCUUCUAAUAUACAUUCUGUAUCAGGAAACUGGAAUGAGGCUUGCUCUUUGAGGAAGAGAAAUAAAAGAAAAAGUUGUGGCAAAGGUUCACGGAUGUAGUUGGAUUGUAGUGGGACAGAGAACAAAUUUAUUUGUUGCAGGGGAAAAGUCUCAUCCAAAUGCUAUGAAAUCAUGGCAACUUUAAAGUAUUGGACAGCAAUAAUGAAAGAAGAGGGCUAUGUUGGUGACACAGAUUCUUGCUUGCAUGAAUAAGAGGGAGAAAAGCCCCUAUGGUAUUGACUGUUGCCGCCAAGUGCAUAUUGUUAUUACUAUGCGUACUACAUCCCAAGGCCUCUCUCAGCAGGAUUACAAAGUAAACCAGAAUUACUAUCCCAGCAGUAUUCUGCAACUUUGCUCUGCACUUCCUUAUGUAAUCUCUCUCUCUCUCUCUCUCUCUCUCUCUCUCUAUAAAUAUAUAUAUACACACACACACACACACACACAUAUAUCUAGGCAUGCAUAUUUAUGAGUUCCCCAUUGAGGAGGGAUUCCCUUUUGAGGAUUUUAUAAUUAGAAUUAGACUGCCUUCUUAACCAAUAGUUGGGUUUGUGUGGUAAGGUAUGCUGGGUUUGUUGAUGUGGAUAUUUAUGCCUGGAGGUGCUUUGUUUUACUACUUCGUUGAAGUAGAAACAGACACUGACAAAGAAGCCCUUCAUUCUUUGUCUCAAUAGUGAUUGGUUUCUUUGAUCCUAUUCAUCAUAUCUGGUGGUGAGGUUGCCUAAUCAGCCAAAUGUUGGGUUCAACUACCUCUCUCUCUCUCUCUCUCUCUCUCUCUCUCUCUGUCUCUCUCUCUCUUUCUCUCUCUCUCUGUGACCUGCAUUUAUACAGAGCCAAUUAUUCCAUCUUCACUUUACAUUUUCCUCAUCUUCCCAUUCAUAUUUUAUGGCUUUCUUGCUCUUCCUCCUAAUUCUUUUGGUCCCUGCAAGCAAUACUAAUUGGCCACCAUCACCUGGCUACUGGCCAAGUUCUAAAUUGGCCAGAAAAUUUUAAGAACUUAUCUACCAAGCAUACCAAACUGACAAAGCAAACCAUAUCUGUAUUUUAUCAUCAAUUUUAUCGCCAACAACAGAUAAAAAAAGGGAAUUUUUUCAAAAAAAAAAAAAAAAAAGGAAAAAACAUGUUUAGUCUUUGCUUUCCAAUGUUUUAUCCAAAAACCUGAAAAUCAAAGUAACUAAAUAAAUGAACCCAAUCAUUCCUAAUUUCUAUUUUGUCAAAACCUAAUUAAGCUUCACUUCUUUUUUGCUUGUAUUUUAUCAUCAAUUUCAUCUAUUUUAUCACCAAUAGCAGAUAAAAAAAGGAAAUUUUUUCAAUUAAAAAAAAAAAAAACAUACUCAGUCUUUGCUUUCCAAUGUUUUAUCUAAAAACCUAAAAUCAAAGGAAUCAAAUAAAUAGGGUUUAGGGCUCAAGAACCUGAAAUCAAAAGAACCAAAAAAAUGAACACAACUCUACAUAGCACGAAAAAUCUCCCAGCCAACAAUCAAAUUCAUGAAAUAAAUACCAAAAGAUCUGUUAAAAAAUUGAUGAGAUGCAUACCUGAAAACAAAGGAUGCAACAAAGAUGGAAGCCUGAGUCGAAGCAAGAACGAUGGAAGCCUGAGUCGAAGCAAGAAAGAUGGAAGCCUGAGUCGAAGGUUGUAGAAAAGACGAAAUCUCCCGAUCCCAAAUCUGUGACACGAAGACUGAAAGCACGGCUGGAUUUGCAGCUCACCUCCCAAACAAAAAUCGACGGCCUUCAACGCAUCUCCAGCAACGAACACAACUCUUCCAUGGCUGCCCCCCAACCAGCUGGUUGGAAACGAACGGGAGAAAAUGGUUUCUCUCAGCGGACGAAACCAUCUCAACGAAGGGGGAGGGGCAAAAACGGGAACAAAAGAAACUGUUUAGUCAAGGGCAGUUUCGUCAUUUAACUGUGCUGCAGGAAAAAAAACGAAAACAGCAGAAAAAUGAGGGGCAUUUCCGUCAUUACACUGUGCUUAGCUACAGUGUUUAGUUGCAUUGGGUUUUAGUAUAUAUAUAAUUUAUGUUGUGAUUCGACUGCUGCUGUAUUUUAGAUUUAUAGGAACAGACCAAACAUGUUGAUUCUAUCACCAAAAUUAUAAAGUAUACUUCCAUUACAAUUAAUUUGUUGAUUCUAAUUUGGACUUGUAGGAACAGACCAAACAUGUUCAUACGUGGCAUUGCUCAAGUCAUCAUCAUUCGGGACAGAGAAUAAGCCUUCAAAUGUCUGCUGAGUCAAUGAACCUUUCUAGAUAUCUCAAGUGUAAUGGAAAUUGAUGAGUUACAAAGGAUUUGUAAACAUUUUCUACUGGAGGCUAGAAAUGCUUCAAAUAAAUGACUCUGUUGCAAUUAUUUUGUAGGAUCAAAGACUCUGCAAAGAGGUAAGAAAGUCAUCAUCAAGUAACUUCGCUCUUCAUACUUUUUAUUAGGGGUGGGCAUUGGAACCGCAAAACCGCAAAACCGAACCAACCCAAUCCGAAAAAAACCGAAAAAAACCGUGUUGACCGAAAAAGUCAAAAACCGAGACAAAUCCAAACCGAACCGGUUCAGACCGGUUCCGGUUCCGAUUUUCCACCUUAAGGAACCGGUCCAAUCCGAACCGGUCCAAUAUAAUUAAUUUUUAUAUUAUAUUUAUAUUUAUAUUUAAAAUAUCAAAUUUUGUAGGCCCAAACCCAACUAUUUCAUUAUACCAACAAAAAGCCCAAAUCUCCCAAGUCCAUUGCCCAAGUCCAACAAGCCAUAUUUUAAUAUCCUAAUCACAUCAAAUCUCACUUCACUCUCUCUCUCUGACGCACUCUCUCUUUUCCUCUCAGAUUUUUUUUACUCUCUUUUUCUUUCUUUCUUCUCUCUUCCGCCUCUUUUCCUCUAGGUUCUUUAACUUCUUUUUACUUCUUUCUUUCUUCACUCUUCUGCCUCUUUUCCUCAGUUUUUUCUUCUUCUUUCUCUCUUAUUCUUUCUCCUCUCAAUUCGUCUCCAUUUUUUUUCCCUCUCUUUCUCUGAUUUUCUGUUACUCUGAUUUUUUUCUUCUUGGUUUUAUGUUUCUCUCUCUCCCUCUAUAUCUCUUUCUUUGCAACUCUGUUUUUCAAUUUCUCCUUUUUUUUCUCUCUUCAUUUUUUGUUUCUCUGUACAUAUAUGUGUUCAUCUUGUAGAUCUGGGUGAAAUUCUUGUAGAUCUAGGUGAAGUUCUUGGAGAUCUGCGUUAAGUUCUUGUAGAUCUAGGUAAAGAGCCAAUUCAAAGCAGGUCAGCGUCUCUUAUCUCCCCAAUCCCUUGUGAAGAUAUGUAUUUUUUUUGUUGUCAACAAUCCAUUUUGGUGUUUUUAUAUGGUAUUGAUAUUUUCUAUGAUUUUGGGCUGAUUUGAGGUCUGAUUCUUUUUUUUUCUUUCAAUUUUUUCCUGUUGUGUUUUGAUAGACAUGUUCUCUAUUCCUGAUAUCAUUCCUCAGUGGCAAAAUCUUUGAGCGUUGUUGUAAAUUUUAGACGGGAAAGAAGCUCAUUCAUAAUUCAAAAAAAGAAAAUAAAGUUACAACAACUGACAAUUUGUUGCUCUUUGAAAUAGGUACUGAAGUAGCAUGGAUAAAAAGAAAGACUGAAGAUGUUGCAGAAGAUUGAAUAUGUUCUAUUUCUGUAAUUUGUUUGUAAUUAAAUUUGUUUAUUUUGUUUUGUUUUUAGGUUGUAAGUUUUAUUUUAAUGUUUGAUAUUUGUUGUUUUGUCAAAAAAUUGUAUUAAUGCUUGAUGGAUUCAUUCAAUUUGCAGUGCGUGGAUGUGAAUUGGGCCAAUCGGUAAUAAUUAGGCCCAAAAGGUUUUAAAUAUCAAUUGGGCUGAAACUUACAAAAAAAUUUAAGAACAAAAAAAAAAUCAAUUAAGCUGUGUGUCGGCCCAAACCGUAAAAACCGGAACCGAACCGGAUUCAAAUGGGUUCGGGUUGGUCCGGUUUUCUCAAGCAUUUUAGUAAAAAUCCGAACCGGACCGGACCGGUGAACAGUACCGGUUCCGGUUUUAAAUUGAUGCAAAAACCGGUCCAAACCGGACCGUGCCCACCCCUAUUUUUUAUUUUUAUUUUUAAAUAUCAGUAAUAACUGGGAAAGCUUGCAUCUCCUUAAAUUGCUCAUUCUUACAUCUUUUAUAGUUUGUUGAUCUUGGGCAAGUGGAGAGAGAGGCGUCAAGUGAUACGCAACAACCAUUUUCUGUGAGCUGAUUUGAUAAAGAGAAAUGGUAUGCUUUCUUGUCUUAAGCGGUGUGUUCUGCAAUUAUUUGAAACAAAGGAUGCCGCACUUCAAGUUCGAGAAAAUCAGGUAUUUUAGUAUUUUAUUCUUGAGAAAUUUGAUUUAUGUAGAAACUUGAACAUGUAAAUGAGAGAAAAAAAAAUAAAUAUAUAUAUAUAUUAUAUAUUGUAUAUGCUGUUAAUGAGUUAAUAUGGUGCUUGCUCCUAGUUGGAAAUUUAUGUAGUCAUCUACCUAUGAUCAAAUAAAGAUGAAAAAUAAAAUAAAAUUGAGAGCAUCUUCCUCUCCCCUGCUUUGCUCAUCCCUUGUUCUUCCACUUCAGCCCCACUAUUACACCAUUUUUUUCAGCCACAAUUAUAAUAGCUCCAUGAGCAUUAAGUCCCUUUCAAAUUCUGCUGACAUUCAAAAUUGGAAUCUGCUGGUGAUAUAUGAUAGCGUUAACAUAUUGUACCAUUUUGGCCAGUGUACGCAAUAUUAUUGCAUCCAACUUUGCAUAUUAACAUCAGUGGCCACAGUUACACGAUUUGAGUGCACAGAAAGGUUUCAAAAGUUGUCCCACAGAGAACAGUCGUUCAAAGUGAGAGAGUUUUGAAAGCUUAAUUACAAGUUCAUGUUGUUUACAACCUCAAAAAGCUUUCAUACUUGCUUACAAACCUGUAUUUCCAAGUUCUGCAAACCUUGGAAUAUCACUUCAUCCAAAUCCCCUUCCAAAGCAGGAAAAAAUGGCAGCAGCUUUGAUUGGAGAGGCUCUCAUCUCUGCUUCUAUCGAGGUGUUGUGUGACAGAGUUACUUCAGCCGAGUUCAUAGACUUAUUUCAGCAGAAGAAACUUGAUGAAACACUCCUCAUGAACCUGAAGACGACACUGUUGAUUUUGUUUGCGGCGCUCAAUGAUGCAGAGGAGAAGCAAAUUGUGAACCCUGCUGUGAUAGAGUGGCUUAACAGCUCAAGCAUGCUGUCUUUGAUGCAGAGGACUUACUUGAUGAGAUUGACACUGAAGCUUUGCGAUGCAAGCUGGAAGGUGAGGAUCAAACCCACAAUAAUUAACCAACAAGGAUCUUUUUGAUUGUUUGAAAGGAGGGUCUUUGAUGAUUUGAAAGGAGAGGGUUGCUUCAUUUCUGUUGGAUGCUUAAUUAAAUCUUAUCUGGACUUGAACAAGGAUUAGGUUAGCUGUAUAAUUCGUGGUAAACACCUUUUUCUAAGGUUCAUUUAGACUCCUAUUACGAUUAAUUUGUUGUUUCUAAUUUGGACUUGUAGGAACAGACCAAAUAUGUUCACACGUGGCAUCGUUCAAGUCAUCAUCAUUUCAGACAAAAUCAGCCUUCAAGUGUCUGCUGACUCAAUGAACCUUUCUAGAUAUAUCAAGUGCAAUGGAAAUUCAAGAGUUACAUAGAGAUUUGUAAACAUUUUGAAGAUUGCAACACCUGCAAGUGAGAUAGGUGGUGACGAAAUCAGAGCUGAUCUUGAAGCCUCUGAUGCCCCUGUCGUUGCAAGUUGCACCUGAGAACAUGGUUUUUUUUUGGGUAAAAAACCAGCAACAUGUUCGGGGCUGGCAAUUCAAUCCCUGAUGAACUUGAGAAGCAAAGCUCCAGUAAGGAAAUUGGUCGAGGUCACGACAGGGAUAAUUGAUGGUGAAAUGGAUGCUAUUUCUUAUUGCAGCCUGUUCUCAAAGUUCUUGUUGGCAAAAGCAAGAGAUGGAGUAUUUUGAUUGGGAGGAGAGAUAAUGACAUGUGUUGACAAUUCUAGAACAGCCCAUCUGAGUUCUUUUGUCAGGCUGCAUCAUUUAAUCCCAGCAAAAAUCCAGUUUUUGCUAAACAAUCAAAUUGUACACAUUUUUUCUUUUCGAGGAAUUUAACAUUACACAUUUUUUCAUUUUUUCAUCAAACAGUUUUCUAAUGCAUUUGUUGUCCCAAGUUACAAUGAGGAAUUUGGAUUGAGUUUCUUGUGUUAAUAACAUUAUACUUUCAUGGAAUGGUUUAUCUUCUUUUUCUGGACAAAAAUAUUUAGAUUAAUUUCUUGGAAUAAUUUUUUAAUAAUUUUUUAAUUGCAGUAGCGAAAAAAGGAAAAUUGUAUUUUUCAAAACCAAUCUUAAGUCCAGUUUCCUCUUCUUGGUCGUCACACUUGGAAAUUGCUAACCAUAUAUAACUUGGGGUAACAAUCUUAGUCCGAAUGUGUACGAUCUUAGUCCGAUCAAUGGCUACGCGUAUUGGCUCGGCCUUGGGGUCUACCAUUCCAGUGUACAAGCUUCCUGGGUCUUGGGGCAAUUCCUUCAAAUUGUACACAUGUUUUCUUUGAGAAGCAAGGCUCUAGUAAGGAAAUUGGUUAUGUAACAAAUUUUGGUCCCUUUGGAUGGAAUGAUUUACAAUGAGGAAUUUUAUUAUUAUUAUUUUGUUUUUGUUGUUAGUGUAAUGAAAAUGAUCUAGGUUCAUACACUGGGUAUAGCUCUAAUUUGGCCAAUUUCAUUAUUUUAGUUUCUUCAUAUUUUCAAUUAUUAUAAUUUGGUGCGUUGUUUUUUAAAAACAUUCAUGAGAAUCUCCAUUUUUUAGGUGUUUAAGUUAUUCAUCCACAACGGUUUUAUAAUACCGUCAUCUUUUCAAACACAACGAUGAUUUUUUAAUCUAUCGUCGUUGUUUUCUGAUCGUCUUUUUCACUUUUUGUAGUAGUGUCAAUAAGUAAGAUGAAAUAAUACAUUCACAAUCUGUUUAAAUUUUAAAUUAAAAAAAACACAAGAAAAUUUUAAAUAAGUAAGUAAUUUUAAAUAUAUAUUUCCAUUGUUUUGGUUUUCUUUUCAUAUUAGUUUUCUACUAGCUGCUAAUUUCAUUUAAAUUGUUUUUCUUACUUCAUUUAACUUUUAAGCAUGCAGAUGCAAUCAUGACUUCUUCUUUUUUUCAAUAGACUGAUUCUCUUCCCACAUAUAUAAUGCUCUCUAAGUAUUCGUAAUAUGAGUAGGAAUUUAUUUUCAUUUCACAAGAAUUGUCCAUCAAAUUCUGAUAGGUUUGUCGAUAGCACAAGCAUGCACAUAUAGACACUACAAGAACUUUGUUUCUUCAUUUUGUUUCCUAAAGAUUUGUUGGCUUCGUGCAGAUGAAUAACAAGUCUCUCUGUCCUCUAUUUCUUCUUUUUCUUUUUUAACAAUUCAUAUUCUACUUUCUGUUUUCACCCAGUAAAAAUUGAUUUUAGACAUGGGCUUCUAAAUUAUGUGCGGAUAAUGGUUGCAUUUAUAGAAUAUCCAUGGGCUUCUAGUCACCGUGGUUGUUGAUUCAGCAUGUCAUAUUACUCUUGGACUAGCUGUUGACACUACUACAUUUUACACUUUGCGCGACGAAGAACAAAACGUCGCGCAAAGUCGCAUUUAGUCGCCCCAAUUUCAGCGCGACAAAAACGUCGUCGCGCAUAUUCCGUCGCGCGAAGAUCGUGAAGAAAGCCUUUGCACGACGAGGUACAACCCUUCGUCGCGCAAAAGUGUGCGACGGGUAAACCAUCGUUGCACCAACGGUGUGGAGACGAAACAACCCUUCGUCGCAAAAAUAUUUGCGCGACGAUAAAUUAUGCGGCGCACGUAUAUUUGCGAGACGACGGGAAUUGCGCGACAAAACAUUAUUCGUCGCGCAAAAUAUGUAUGGGAGACGUAUAUGUUCGUCGCAGAACAAUUCGCGCGAUGAGAAAGUUUUCGUCGCACAUAUAAUUGCGCGACGAAAAAUUAUGUCGUCGGCCAAAUAUUUUGCGCGACGAAACAUUUCGUCGCGCAAAACGUGUUAUGUGUUCGUCGCGCAUGAAUUAAAAGUGAUAAAAAAAUAUUUGAUUUUUUUUUGUUACAUGUUGGUUUGCGCGACGAAAGAUUUUCCGUCGCGCAAAAAUAAUAUUACAAUUUUUUUUUUAUUUAUAUUUUUUAUUUGAUAUAAAAUUGGUUUCUUUUUAUUGAUUAAACAAUGAAAUUGCAAUAAAAAUAAAUUAGAAUAAAAUUUUGUUAUAAAAUAAAAUAAAAUAAAUGUAUUACAAAUAAAAUAAAUACACUAAUCAAAUAAUGAAUCAAAAUCAACCGAGUCGUCGCCAGUAUGCGGCUCGGAGGGCGGGGCGUUCACCGGGGCAGUGGUCUGGUGGGGAUGCCCGGGAUGGACGGGCUCAGAGGUCGGCGCAUCAAAAUGCGGGACUGGAAUGCCGGACUGUGCGAGGGACUGCAGAAUGACCGACAUCUGGCUCUGAAGAGUGGCCACCUGUGCUGUCAAAGCAGUGACCUGACUGUUUGACUGCGCCGAUGAACGAGGUCGAGGUUCCCUCCGCCGGGCAUUCCCCAUCCCUCGACAAUAUGUCCCCGGCCUCCUCCCGAGAGUCUGAUCCAACGUCUCCGUCAAUAUCUGAAAUCCAGCAUCCUGUGGAGGAGCCACAGACUCGAUCGGAGUCUCGGGAGGAAGCUGGGAGGCGGACUCCUGAAGAACAAGCUGGCUCCUCUCCACCAUCGUCGUCUGUUGAACAUAACAUAAAAUAUAAAUUAAAACAUGCAUAUAAAUUGAAUGCGUAACAUAAGAAUUAAAAUUAAAUAAUACUUACAUGAAGGGACUCGGCCAACUCAUUCCCGGGUCGAACAUAAACGUCACCAAAGACGUCGAUCUCUGGGAACUUGGACCCCUCCUAAAUUGAACAAGAGAAGAAAAAUAUUAGUAUGAAAAAAAUAAAUUAAUAAAAAUGACAUUAAAAAUGAAAUAAAAAUUUUGUGAUUAUUACCCGACGCCGUGCAUCCAUCCUAUAAGAAAAGGGUCUGGAGCCGGAAUGGUGGAGAAGGGUCUUCUUCUUCCUAUUACCCUUAUUCACUUGGGCUUUAUUCUGUUAUACAAAAAAUGAAACGUAUUAGUUAAAAUAUAAAAAAUUAAAUAAUAAUGAAAUAAAAAAAUAAAAUAAACAUUAAUAAGUAAUAAGUAAUAAUUAAACAAAUAUAAUUAAAAAAAUACCGCAAAUUCGGGCGCUUGAAAAUGAGCGCAGAGCCACUCCCAACUAUCCUCCCGCCCCUCAAGCUCCUUCGGGCAACCCUCCUGAAGAGCGACUUGCGGAUCAUCAUAGGCCUGAAAAUGGUGGUGCAAGUCGCUCUUCCACUGCUUGUACCUCUCAGCGAAGAGUCGGUUGACGUACGUCAACGACUCUUCGUCGAGAUCCUCCAAGUUAUAGUUCGUCUGCAAUCAAUUAAUUAGAUACGUUAAGUAAUAGAAAUAUACACAAUUUUAAAGAAAAAUAAUGAAAAUGUAAGGUACAUACCGACAACUGGCCGUGAAUCUCCGCCUGGAUCUCGUCAGGCAUGACCCUCCAAGACUUCCAUUGCAUCGGGCAAUGGGUCCGCACGACGUGGCCAAUGUCGUGGGCCAAGGAGCUAUGCAACUUCGCCGUCGGUGCAGCACGAUGGCGCUCGUCGUAUCCGAUGCUGAUACGACUGUUGGUCACCCGGGUGACCUUCGCCGUCUUCAGCUGACGACACGGUCCUCGGGUGUUCCUCUUCGCUGCAAAGAAAUAAGGUAUUAAUGUUAAAUAAAAAAACAUUGUCAAAUUUCAAUAUAAAAUUAACAAUACAAAAGUGUAGUUAUACCUGGCUGUGAUCCCGAGGCACCAGUACCGUCGGUCGAUGUCGUGUCGAUGGUGUCGGUGGGCCGGUGCCGCCGCCUAGCACUAGCUGGUUGCGCCACGGAUGACGCAGAUGACACAGGCGCCUGGGGCGCCCCGGGACCAACCACCACGUGGUCCAACAAAGCAGGAGCAGUGGCAGCAGAUGCCGACUGAGCCAGGGGAUCCGAACUCGGUGCAGUCGUCAUCGACCUACCACGUCUAAUCAAGUCUGACAUCUGCACAUAUAAUUUCAUUCAGAAUGUAAACUAAUUAAUUAAAAGCAUAGCCUGACCUAGGGUUUGGAAUUUCGGAGUAUCCGGGACUCCGAUCAACGAUCGGUCGAAUCCUAAACGAUCCUAGAAACACAAAGGUACAACUACGCGAGUUUCAGUUCGAUCCAACGGUCCGAACAUAUCAAACCUGGAAAUCGCACAAUAGGCGAAAUUCGAUCAAGACUCAAACGGUAACCAAAUUCAAAUCCGAGCAAACCUACGCGCUCGUGACAAACAGGGGAUCGCUCUGGGACACAAUGCCCCACUGCCACAGCAUCCCACGCGCCGGCAGCGCGUGGGUGUCCAAAGCGAUAACAUUCGCCGGAAAAUUCUAAAAACUAACGGCCAAGGUUCCUACCCUAGGUUGAAAACAAUAUUUGGCGCCACUUUUGUUCUCGGACCUACCCCGAAAAAUGGCCGGAAGUGGCCGGAUUUGAAAUUGCCAAACCGGCCAAAACCUAGGGUUUUAAUUCCUAUUUCCUAUACCCAUCAGCUAGAGCACAAAAAAUAGUCGAGAAAUCAUACCUCAGGCGUCGGAAAUGGUGGCCGGAGGAGAGAGAAAACGGCCGGCGAGGAAUCGGUGAAAAACCGACGAUGUGCGACGGCAGGCUCGACGGCGAAGGCAGGGGAGGCUAUGGCAGGAGCGGCGGUGGCUGAGGUGACGGCGGAGAGAGAGGGCUGAGGUGACGGCGGAGAGAGAGGCAAACGGAGGAAAAAACCAGAAAUGGGGAAGAAGGAGGCAUCGCGACGUUUCUGCAAAUUUUUACGACUUUGCGCGACGAAUCACAUCAUUCGUCGCGCAAAAUGCUAUUAAUGAAUCUUGCGCGACGCUAUAUCCGUCGCGCAAGAUCUGUCAGAACGCCAAAUUCUGAAAGUGGAUUAGGGUCUGUAAGUUUUGCGCGACGAAAUAGACAUACUUCGUCGCGCAAAAGGCUGUCUUUCCGCCAAAAUUUUGGGAUUUAGGGUUUAGCGGGAGGCUGAAACUGAAGGGUUUGCGCUUUUGCGCGACGAAGACGGUAAACGUCGCGCAAUGGUAACCUUGCGCGACGGAACGUAUUAUAUUCGUCGCGCAAAAGGCUAUCUUUCCGCCCAAAUUUUGGGAUUCAGGGUUUAGCGGGAGGCUGAAGGGUUUGCGCUUUUGCGCGACGAAGACACUAAACGUCGCACAAAAGGCUGUCUGCUGAAAUGAAUGGUUUCUGCUUUUGCGCGACGAAGACAAUAAACGUCGCGCAAAACGUUGUCGUUCCGCCAACAAUUUGGGGUUUAGGGUUUAGUGUGAAAACUGGCGCCCAGAUUGCGCGACGAAGAGUACAUAUUUCCUUCGCGCAAUCUAUUUCACUUUCACUUUGCGCGACGGAUAUGUUGGUUCGUCGCGCAAUCUUCAAGAUUUUCAUUGAAAUUUUCACUAAGUGUUCAAAGGGGAUGGAGGUGUGAAAACUGGCGCCCAGAUUGCGCGACGAAGAGUACAUAUUUCCGUCGCACAAUCUAAUUCACUUUCACUUUGCGCGACGGUUAAAUUGUUCGUCGCGCAAAAUGUAGACCCUAAACCCCCUUGUAAACCCUAAACCCUGAACCCUAAGCCAUAAACCCUAAACCCUAAAAUAGUUUCAAUGAUCCAACCGGCAAACUUAUUGUUUGAAACUUGGAGAUCAUAUACGCCAAAAAUCAAGAAGACCAAACAUUCAGAUAUCAGGGAACGGGACUAAAUAUUUCGACGGUUAUAAAUGAAAAGUCAUGAUUUAACGGUUAUUGUAACUCCGAUUUUGAUCAAUUUUGACAGCAGCAUUUGUUGACCCUAUAUGAAUACAAUGACUGAAUUUGAUCUUCAAUUUCAGAUUUUUACACUAGGGGAUACCACAUAAACGUGAAGUUACAUUUGCACAAAUGUAUAAACAAAUUUUAGGGUUUUUGGUGAAUAUAUGAUUUUGAUAGCACAUGCAGUCUACGAAACAAGUUUCAGUCAUCCAGCCGUCAAACUUGUUUUUUUAGACUUCGAGAUCAUAGACAGCAAAAAUCGGACAAAAAAAACAUUCAGAGAUUAAGCAACGGGGUAAAACUUUUCGACGGUUCUAAAUAAAAAGUGAUGAUUGAACGGUUAAUUUAACUCCGAUGUUGAUGAUUUUUUGCAGCUACAGUCCUACACUCCAUAUGAAUACAAUGAACUACUUCGAUCGCCAAUUUUAAAUAUAUAUGUGUGUAUAUAUUAUACUAUAACGUUACCUAAUAUAUAUUUGCGCGACGAAAGUUUGCUUAUCGUCGCGCAAAAAUGCCAUACGCGACGCAUGUAUAUAUGCGUCGCGGAAACUAUGCGCGACCAGUUGUAUUCGUUGCGCAAACAUUACGCGACGCUUAUGUAUGCGUCGCGUAUGGUAUGUUUGCGCGACGAUAUGGAGCCCUUCGUCGCGCAUGGAUUUGGCGCCAUAAAUCCUCAUUGAUUUCAAAUUGUGUAUGCUUUGUAUUUUUUAGAAAGGUUUUGUAUUCAUCAUUUUUUAUGCUUUGUAUUUUGUGGAAAGGCUUUGAAAUAUUCAUUUCUUUUGUUAUUUUUAUUGAAGCUUUAACUUGUUCUGUUCCGCAGAAAAUUCCAAUGAAGUUUGUGAUGAAAUAUGGAGAAUGAAUACACAACUACAUAUGGACAACUACACAUAUUCAAAGAUUUGUAUUACACAAAAUUAAUACACUAACAUAAUAAAUUUACAAAUAAAUUCAUUAUUCAUCAUCUGAACUAUAAUAACUUUCGUUAUCGUCGCUAGCUUUAACUUGUUCUGUUCCGCAGAAAAUUCCAAUGAAGUUUGUGAUGAAAUCUGGAGAAUGAAUACACAACUACAUAUAGACAACUACACAUAUUCAAAGAUUUGUAUUACACAAAAUUAAUACACUACAUAAUAAAUUACAAAUAAAUUCAUUAUUCAUCAUCUGAACUAUAAUAACUUUCGUAUCGUCGCUAUCAUCACUCUCGGUCUCCCAAUCUUCUUCCUCCUCCUCCUCUAUAACUGCAUCAUCGGCGUUGCUAGGGCCCACUGCAACAUCGUAUCGGGGAAGAUCACCGAGGUCAAUUGUAAUUGACUGAAUCGGUAUUUCGACUGAAGACACUCCUUCUAUUUGAAACGGUUCUUGUAUAACAUUUGUAUCUCGAAGUGUUUCCGCAUCAUUUUCCAUUGAAGAUUCUAAACGAUGGUCAGCCACAUUGUCGACGUCGUUGUCACUUGGGUCUAGUUCUGGUAUAUUAUACACGUUCCUAUGAUCCAUCUUCUGCACAACUUUCCACCCGUUCCCGGCUUUAGGGUCAUCUAGAUACACAAUUUGGGACGCCAUGUUUGCCAAAAUGUACGGGUCGUCAUCAUACCAAGUUCUGUUAAUAUUCACAGACAGUACUCCAUGGUCGAUUUUAACACUUCCCGCCCUAUUUGGGUUGGUAUCGAACCAUCGACACUUAAACAUGAUGACUUGGUAUCGAUCUUUGUAAAGCAAUUGCACGACAGUUGUCAGUUUGCCAUAGAAAUCAAUGUCUGUACUUUCGCCUCCACCUGGGACAUGAACACCGCUAUUUUGCGUACACAACUUGUCAUCUCGUGCGGCCCCUAAAAAUUUGACGCCGUUAACAUUACAACCCGAGAACAAUUCAGCGCGAAUUGGGCCGAACGCCAAGUUAUAUAACUCAUCACUGUAAGUGGGGGAAUUCGAUGAUUUCAAUUUAUUCACCUAAUAGUAUACAAAACCAUUUACAUGUUAGUCUGACAAAAUUAAAUACUAAAAUUUAUAUUUGUCAAUUACAAAACACUUAUAACUUACAGAAUCCAAAAACCAUUGUGGAAAUAAUUCACGGUGUUUCCGGGCAACCAAAUGUGAUGGAUGUUCUCGCUUCAUCAUCUGUUCAUGCUCAUCUAAGUAGGCCAUUAUCUCAUCACAAUUGUUCAGUACGAACCAAUGCGCUACCUCCAUGUCAUUUCUAGAAAACGACUCUCCUCGUCCAGGAUCUCCAAAUGGUCGUGCGCUUUGGGCAAAAACAGAAAGUUUUUCAUUUCUCAUACCUCCGUCAUUAUUGCGGUGAGGACGAUUGAAAACCGUCUCCACAUCUUUUAAAUACAUUCCACAGAAAGUAAGCGACUCAUAUUGAACCCAAGCCUCUAUAAUUGAUCCUUCGGGCUUUGCCCUGUUGCGUACACUUUUUUUCAGCUCUCCGAGAAGCCUGCCAAAAUAAAACGAUAUGAUACAAAUUAGCAAAGUGUCGAUAAUGAUGCAUACACAAAUGAUAAAGAUUAUAUACCUUUCUAUUGGAUACAUCCAGCGAUAGUUGACAGGACCAGCAAGCAAUGCCUCUUCUGGCAAGUGAACCAUCACGUGCAUCAUACUUAUAAAGAAAGCUGGAGGAAAUAUCAUCUCAAACUUGCAUAGGACUUGGACAAUGUCAUGGCGCAACUGAAACAUGUCUGUCCUUCGCAAUGUUUUUGCCGUCAGUUGGGAAAAAAAUCUGGAUAACAACAUGAUUGGCUUCACCACAUCUUCCGGCAGUAAGUGUCGAAUACCCACAGGAAGUAGGCGUUGCAUGAACACAUGGCAGUCAUGGCUCUUAAGUCCAGUAAAUUUACCCCCAUCGACAUUCACGCAACGUGCGAUAUUAGAAGCAUACCCAUCGGGAAAUUUGACAGACGAUACAAACUUUAGAAACUCCUUUUUGUCAUUCGGUUUCAUAGAAAAGAAUGCAAGAUCCCUUCUAGCUUUAUCACUGUCCCUAUUCAUCCAUAAACCCCUUCGUAUGCCCAUUCUUUCCAAAUCAAGACGAGCUUUGAUCGUGUCCUUCGUCUUCCCCUCGAUAUCUAGAAUCGUGCCCACCAAUGUGUCGAAAACAUUUUUCUCAACAUGCAUCACAUCUAGAUUGUGCCUCAAUUUCAGUUUCGACCAAUAUGGGCGCUCAAAAAACAUAGACUUGUGCGUCCAGUUCAAAUGUGUAGAAGGUCGGGUCCGACUAACUGUUUUCCCGAACGGAGCAAAAUCCAAACGGUUCAGCUGUUCCAAGAUCUCAUCACCGGACCAUUCUCUAGGUCUGAGGCGACGCUCUGUGUUCCCGUCGAACUCUUUAUCUUUUUCUCGCCACUCGUGGUCCCAUGGCAACCAUCUCCGAUGACCAAGGUAACAAACUUUUCCCGCGUGCCAACCAGAAGUUACAUCUUCCUUGCAUACAGGACAUGCCAUAUAACCCUUUGUGCUCCACCCAGAAACCAUUGCAUAUGCUGGAAAAUCAUUCACAGUCCACAUAACUGCUGCUCGCAAAGUGAACAUCCUCCCAGUUGAUUUAUCGUACGUGCGAACACCGUUUGUCCAUAAAUCCUUCAGCUCAUCAACCAGAGGCCUUAAGUACACAUCAAUUGACCUGCCAGGAUCCUCAGUUAUCAAAACAGUCAUCAUCAUGUAUUCUUUUUUCAUGCAUUUCCAAGGCGGCAAAUUAUAUGGGAAUGCGAAAAUCGGCCAAGUGCUGUGGUGUUGGUUUAGAACCCCAUACGGAUUGAAUCCGUCAGUGGCAAGUCCCAAUCUAACAUUUCGGGGAUCAGCAGCAAAUUCGGGGAACGUUCGAUCGAACUCUUUCCAUGCCUCCCCAUCUGCAGGAUGCCGCAUCACAUCAUCGUCUACCCGUUUUUCCUUAUGCCAUCUCAUGUCUGUGGCAGUAUGCGUUGACAUAUACAAUCGCUGCAACCUAGGUUUAAGGGGCAGAUAACGCAUGACUUUUUGUGGUAUCUUAGUCGUUCUAUUCUGGGAUGUCAGUUUGAACCUCGACUCAUUGCAUAUAGGGCAUGUAUCCAACGUUUCAUGCUCUUUGUAGAAUAACAUGCAAUUGUUUUUGCAAGCGUGGAUUUUUUCAUAACCCAAUCCAAGACCGUGCAACACCUUCUGUGCAUGUUUAUGGUCUUUCGGCAAACAAUUGUCCGUCGGAAGCAUUCUCUUGAAAACCCCCAAAAAGUAAUCAAAACACAAGUUCGACAUACGAUACUUUAUUUUUCCGUGCAUUAGCUCCACAAUGGCAGUGAGAACGGAAAACCUCUCGCACCCCGGGUAUAACUCUUGGUUGGCAUUUUUUAACAGUUUUUCAUACUGUUCAAACUCCGCACUGUCUAUUGGUGUAGGCACGUCAUCUUCCCCUUCCUGAUUGAUGUUGGUCGAUGCGAAUGGAAAAGCAUCCUGUAUAAUACCCAUGACUUGAUCAUUAGGAUCCACAAUAGGUUCAACAUUGUCCACUCUCGGGGCAUUUGAAGACGAAGCAUGGUCUACUUGUUCGCCGUGAAGGUUCCAAAUGCUAUAUGUUUCAAUCAUUCCAUUCCUUACUAAAUGAAAUCCAACAUUUUCAAUUGUCUCCCACAACGUGUUGUUACACCUCCUACAAGGACAACGGAUUCUAGUUGCACCCGGGUUGUGUCUACGUGCAAACUCAAUAAAAUCCUCGAUUCCAUCCAAGUAUUCGUCUGCGCAUCUAUUCGGGUUCUGUAUCCACCUUCUGCUCAUAAUUCCUGAAACCACAAUCACGACACAACAAUCACAACAACUUCAUACGAAGUUAUAAUGUCACCUUAUGCCUCCGGUAAGGGCCCUAUCCCAUUCGGGAAUGCAUAGUCCUGUCACGUAACCUACGGCUACAUGAGAUUAGAUUUCGACGUGGAUUAAUUUCAGCAGCAUCUCGACACAGUUCUUGAAGUGGGCAUAGGUAUAAAUACCUACGUACCACCCGAAGAACGUACCGAGAUGACACCGAAAUCUCCACAAUCGAAACCUAAUCCUGUAGCCGAAGAUUAUGUGACAACACUAUGCAUUACCAAACUGUCCAAAUAAUGGGACAAUUCAAGAAUUAAUUGGACCGCAGUCAUGCAUUACGCAUCCAUGCACGAAAUUCAACUAAUCUCGAACGGGAAACUACGUGUUACUAAACAUAAAAAUAAAAGUACGAAGUUAAUUUCAAUUAACUUCGUACAUCACAACACAUUGUGCUAUGUCACGCACAAUUUCACAACAUUAUACACAUAUAACUUCACAAAAAAAUUACAAACAUAACAAACAAACUUUUACAAUAACAUACCUUCUCAAUCGUUCUCCACCAAUCACAAAUAUCCCUAACGAUAACAAAAUUAAUAGCGUUACUACGAAUUUACAUUAAUACAUUUAAACUAACGACAAAAAAUACAUACCCAAUGAACGUACUGAAUUCACAGUAGAGCAACGGCAGAGAGAGUGAGAGAGAGGUAGAAUGCAGUGGGAGAGUGAGAGAGAGGCAGAAUGCAGAAACUGCAUUCUGCCUCUGCAAUGGAACUGGCUAAAAUGAAGAAGAAGGACUUUGCGCGACUAACAAUCCAAUCCGUCGCGCAAAAUGCCGUCGCGAAAACCCACUUUUCCGUCGCACAAAAAAACAUUUCCGUCGCGCAAUUACCUGCCGACAUCAGGUUUUUUGCGCGACGAAUACAAUUAUCCGUCGCACAAACAUCCGUCGCGCAAAUAACAUUAUUCGUCGCGCAAGGUUUAUAUUACGUCGCGCAAAUAACACUUAUUUCGUCGCGCAAGAAAUUACACUUUACGCGACGAAGGUAAUUCCGUCGCGCAAAAAAGUUUUUUCCACCCUGCAUUUUGCCGCCAAAAUUAAGUAACCCUCGUUUUCUUACGCGACGGUACAUAUUUCCGUCGCGCUAAGGCGUCUUUUGCGACGAAAAUGUUCGUCGCGCAAGAUUCUGGCGCCAAAAACAUAAACUGGGGAUUUUUCCCCGACCUUUGCUCGACGAAAUUAGUUUUGGUCGCGCAUAGAUUGUUUGCGCAACGAAGAUUGUUCGUCGCGCUAGUGUUCUGCUGUUUGCGCUACGGUAUUUUUUUUUCGUCGCAAUAGUGAUUUUUGCGCGACGAAAAUAUAUUCGUCGCGCAAACGUCCGUCGCGCAAAUAGUAAAUCGUAGUAGUGUGAUUUGGUUUAGACUUGGUUUAAUUAUCAUUGUUGUGGUUGGUUCACCAAAAAGAUUUGGCUUAGAAUUACCAGUUUUGUUGUUGGUUUAGUUAUGCUUGGCAUUUGAGGAUCCUAUGCUUACUUGUAUGGGUAAUACAUUUUAUUGAUCGUUUCAUAUACUAAUUAUGAACUUUUAGUUCCAUUGUGCAUUUAAGAGUACACAUAUUUCAUAUGUAAUUCGAAAGUUUGUCGCUGAAAUUUCUGAGAAUUUGAAACUAGAUAAGCACACCUUGCACAAAGUUCAUAUAUUUUCUUCCAGCAAGUCUGUCUAUUAACCCCCCUUAUCUGAAAUUAAUUGUUAAAAGUUCUGAUUCAUCUUUAAUCAUUGUCUUACCCUUGUUGAAUAACACUCCUCAUUCUAAUUUAUAUUCGAAGUUUGAGGUUUCAAUUUCAAUUGUGGGCUUUGAUUUUACAGAUUUUGUUUGUCAAUUUCAAUUUGGACAAAGCAUAUGCAAACAAAGUAAGGCAUUAUCUAUUAUUUGGAUCAUUUCCAUAUGUUUAUAUGUUUUUAAUAUCAUUUGCCUAUGUAGUUGACAUGUUAUAACAUUUUCGUAGUGUUGAAUAUAUAUAUAUAAUAAUUUUAUUUUAGUGGAUGUGAGAUCUCAGUUUGUUGCUUUAUAUAAUUAUUUCUUUGCAAUUUAAUUUUUUUUAUCAGUCAUACUAUUGUUGACGGCUAAAAACCAUCAAGAAACAACUCUUAAGUUUUUUAAAAAAUAAAUAAAUAAAUAAAGAUUUGUUGAUGCUUAAAAAGCAUCAAGAAAAGAUAGUUUCUUGACGGUUUUGUGACGUUUCAUAACCGUCAUGAAACAUUACAUUUUGACGAACGUCUUUCUGAUAGUGGCAUCCGUGACGCUUUCCGAGCCAUCAAUUAAGGGCUAUCGUGAUGCUUUUUAGUUGUCAGCAAAAGGUGUUUUUCUUGUACUGUAUUCACUCAAAAUCGUUUUUCAUUUAGGGUUGCUAGUGUGGUUGAAUGCCAUUUGUUUUGUUAAUGAAUAUUAUACAUUAUGGAUUUUUGUAGAAAUGUCGCUUGAAAUUAUACCUCAGUUUCAAUUUGUCACCUUAAAGAAAAAUUUAAGAGAAAUGUCACCUUAAUUUUUCAAAAUCCACGAUUUGUCAUCUCACUUUAACAUCAUCCAAUUUUCCAUCUAUUUUAAGGGUAUUUUAGUCUUUUCAUUUUCAAGGGAAAAAAAGAGAGGAAGAAAAAGACCUCUCUCUUACUUUCUCCCCCAACCCAACCCCACCCGCCCCCCAAAACACAUCGCAUAGGACCGCCUCCCCCUUCCCCACAUUUCUUUUUUCUUUUUGGCCUACUUUUCCACUAUGUUUAUGUUGAAGGAUCUAAAGUUUUCUUGGUCACCAUCUAUUACGUAGGCUACCGACUUGUUGGUUUGGGUGGGUUGAGGGAAUUUGUGUGUGGAGGGCAGGUGUUCAUGUUGUGUGCACCAAGACCUUAUCGUUGAUGAACUAUGUGACGGCACACACACAAACUCGUUGAGAAUAAAACAAACAUACCACCAAGAGAGUAAAACAAACACACAAGGACACAAAGAUUUAUAGAGGUUCGGCCUCCUGCCUACGUCUUUUUGGUGAUUCACUCGAGAAAUUCACUAGUAUGUAAAAAUAACUUUGGUUACAACUGAACCCCCUUAGCCCUCACAAGAACCUUAGAUCUCUUUUCUCUCACCCUUGCUCAAACCCUUUGAUGCCCUUGUAGACACUCAAGAAUUCACCCUUGAAUUCUAUCUUGUGUUACAUCUUCUCUUCUCCCUUUUGUUAACCUAACCCUAAAAGUCCUAUUUAUAAUGCAUAGGACUUAAGUUACAAGUUAACUUGGAAUAGGAAACAUAAAAUACCCCAAAAAUUGGAGAAAAUCUGUCCAAAUCUAGCCUGCAAAAUCAUCCUUCUGCCGCUCGAGCUGCCGGUGGCGCUCAUGGGAUGGGGGAAUUGGAGAUUUUCUUUUCAAUUUUAAUUGUUUAAAAGAUAUACAAUUUUUUAUUAUAAUAAUUUUUCCAUUUUUAAAAUACACUUGAAAAUAGAAAGCUUAAAAUGCCCUUAAAAAUAGAUGGAAAAUUGGAUGGUGUUAAAGUCAGAUGACAAAUCAUGGAUUUUGAAAAAUUAAGGUGACAUUUCUCUGAAAUUUUUCUUUUAAAAGUGACAAAUUGAAACUGAGGUAUAAGUUCAGGCGACAUUUCUACAAAAAUCCCUAUACAUUACAAUAUUAUAACAAUAAAAUUGGCUAAAAUUGAUAUGUUCCCUCUUUUCUUUUCUUUUUCUCUUUUCCUUUUCAUUUUAUGCUUUGUUGCUAUUGCUAUGUUUAUCCUACAAAUAUAGCAACUUCUCCACCAUUCAUUUGUUAGUGACUACGAUGCUUAGUAACUUCUUCAGCUCCCCUUAUUUCCAUGUACUAACCAGGGACACCAGGUCAGCAUCUUCGGUAAGAAUCCUAACUCAAUCAAACAAUGACAUCUGUAAAUAUUCAAAAUUGGAAUUUGCAUUGUGAUAGUUGAAAGCAUCCUUGUCCCAAAAAAAGCCAAAAAAUAAAAUAAAAUUGAGAGCAUUAAGUCCUUUUCAAAUUAUGCUAAUAUGCAAAAUUGGAAUUUUGAUGGAGUUGCUUCCUUGACUUUUCCACCUUUGUAUCCAGUCCACUUUGCACAAGGAGCCAAGUUUGAGAGAUAGUUUUCUGUAUUUACACCAUCCAGGAGAAAAUUAAAAAACUAUUUCAUGCCAAACUAACUACGGAUUCUUGCAAAGGACCCAUUAGUGUAGUGGUUUGGAGUAUUUACUCCCUCAGGCAAGGUCUUGGGUUCGAGUCCUAGCAUUCAUGUUGUGUGUGUGAGUUUAAUAUGCUAUCACCCCUUCCAAUAGGAAAGGACCUCAAAAAAAAAAAAAAAACUACAGAUUCUUUAAUUGAAAGAAACCCCAUAUUAAUCAUCCUUUGGCACAUAAAUGUUUGGUAAUUGGCAUUAAAGUAUCUAAAGGUUACGAAAUUAAAGAUUUUAAUGCAAACCUAAAAUUGGAAAAGAGGGCACCAAUUCAUGUAAAAUAUGGUGUACUUAGUAGAUCCAACAUAUUUUUUUAGCAACCAAGGACAAUCAUCAUUUUUUUUUUUAAGAACCAAGGAUAGCUUACAUUCUAGUUUGUCCAUCAUGUCAACACAUUUAUAAUUAAAACUUCUUUUUUGGUGAGGUUUCAAUUUUUGUCACUGUAACAAGACCACAAUUGCCAUUCAGUAUGCUAACAUUGUCACUAUGUUUGCCAAUUGCAUAUUAUCUAGAACAUAAAGGCUUUGGUGUUUUGUAUAUCCUCGGGGUGCCAAACCUGUCUUUAUAAAAAUGGUCCUUAUGAUACUACUUUAACAACAAAAAAAUAUAAUAAACUAGGCCUUUGUAGUCACUGAACGAAUGUUUUCUCAUAGAUAUGACUAUUUAAAUGUAAUUACGGGAUUAAAACAUUAUAAUAAAUUGGAGUGAACCAUAACAUUAUAUAUGAUCCAAUCCUUUUCAUAUAUUUUUGUUCAAGACUUUGUUUUAGAAUGCUCUUUUACUAAUUUGGUACAGGUCCCUAAAAUCUACGCCUUUAUGAGGCAACGUCUUUAUUUCUUUGGUUAUUCCAGUUUAGAAUAUAUUUGUACAAAUGAGAUGACUCCCAACAUAAAGUCACAUUCAACCAAAAAGCAUGAAGUCACACACAAAAAGAACACGGACAAUUGCUAAGUUUAUCUUGUAUCCUUAUUUUAUUGAUCCAACCCAAUUGAAAAAUAAAAAAGAUGAUAUAAUAUAUUGUUCACUGCUUACAUCCAUGAGUAAAGUCCUCCAUUUGAAAUUGCGUGAUUAUACAAAAUUGGAAUGAAAAAAGAAAAUCCUACAACUAAAUUUGAUAUAUUCCUUUUCAUUUUAUGUUGGAUGUUAAGUUUUCUUGUUUCUUGUUGAAAAGAAAAAUGAAAAGAAAUAAAUAAAUUACACAGCUAGCAACUUCUCCACCUUCCCUUCUUCCCAUGUACUGACAACAAGGGAGGCCUUCAAUCCAAAAUAAAGACAAGGGAUGCCAGGUCAGCAUCUCAGAUAAGUAUCCCAACCAAAACCAAUCAAAUAAUGACAUAUGUAUCUCUUUUUGUGUUUUGUUCUAUUUCUCUUUGAAUUAACUGCGAAGUUUCAUAAGCGUGUCCUCCUUUUGAAAUUGUGUAUUAUUCAAAAUUGGAAUUUGCUGGUCAUACUUGAUAUAAGCUAAAACAGUUUCCAACAUCUUGUACCAUUUUUUUCCAGUGUGGGUCAUAACUUGAAGAAGCCCACCGACAAUUUCUCAAAAGCUAUUACCAUCCAACUUUGAAAAAUAAAAGUUUCAAAAGUUACCCCAAACAACAGCCCUUGAAAGAGAGUUUUCCAAGGCUAAAGAUUACAAGGAUGUUAUUGGCACAUGCAUUAACGUGUGACAAGAAGUUAGUUAUAUUUAUAAAGUAAAAGAACGAAGUACAUAACAUGUAAGUUGAUGCCAAAUAUUUGAUCAACAGAGCUAAACAUAAAACCACGACAAUAUAACGUUGUUCACCAAAAAUUGUGUUUCGUUGAGGGUCAGUAGUGUAGGUUUCAAGAUACGAUUUAUUUUGUUAAAGAAUAUUCUGAUAUUCUAACAAUAAAAUUGGCUCAAUUUGAUAUGUUUCUUUUUUUUUUUGUUUUUGUUUUCCCUUUCAUUUUAUGCUUUGUUGUGCUAUUGCUAAGUUUAUCCUAGAGACCAGGGAUGCUUAGCAAGUUUCUUCACCUGCCCUUCUUCCCAUGUACUAACUAGGGAUACCAUGUCAGAAUCUUAGAUAAGAAUCCCAACCCAAUCAAACUAUGACAUCUGUAAGUAUUCAAAAUUGGAAUUUGCAUUGUGAUAGUUGAGUGGAAGAAUCGAUUAAGGCUUGAGUGGAAGACAAACUUCAGUGGAGGAAAGUAAUUAAUCUCACAAGACAUAGCCCAUCAGUUGGCUCAUUUUUCUUGAGUGUGUAGUCCUGGCCUUGAGGCGAGGCCACAUUGCUUUGGAGAUUUCUUUCUACUUGGUGAAAUUAUAAUUUAGAAGAAGCAAACUGCGUUUUGCAAUUUGUGCGAUUCAAGCAUAUCUGACACUAGUAAUUAGACCAUAAUCUUUGUCCGACCAGAAAAUAAGAAAAGUUGUCUUGUACCAUUUCUGCCAGUGUGGGUCCCACCCACCCCAUACGAGUAAUUUGAAGAAGUCCACCGACAAUUUCCCAAAAGCUUUGGCGUCCAACUUUGCCGACCCCAUCCCCAUGUGAGGCCAUAGAAAAGUUUUCAGCCACAAUCAAAGAAGGGAACAGUCCUUGAAAAGAGAGGGUUUUCCAAGGCCAAGAUUACAAGUUCAUGUUAUUUACAGUCUCAAAAAGCUUCCAUACUUGUUUACAAACCUGUAUUUUCAAGUUGUGCUAGCCUAGCUAUUUGCAAAUCUUGGAAUAUUUUACUUCAUCCAAAUCCCUUGCAGUCUGCAGAGAAGAUAAAAGACAUGGCUUUGAUUGGAGAGGCUCUUAUCUCUGCUUCCGUCCAGGUGUUGUGCGACAGAAUUACUUCACCCGAGUUCGUUGACUUAUUUUGGCACAAGAAACUCGAUGAGCCACUCCUCAGGAAGCUGAGGACGACACUGUUGGCCUUGAACUUGGUGCUCAAUGAUGCAGAGGGGAAGCAACUUGUGAACCGAGAUGUGAAAAAGUGGCUUGACGAGCUCAGACAUGCUGUCUUUGAUGCGGAGGACUUACUGGAUGAGAUUGACACUGAAGCUUUGCGAUGCAAGCUGGAAGAAGGUGAAGAUCAAACUCACAAAUUUACCAAUAAGGUGCGGAACUUGCUCUUUUCUCCUCGUAGUCAUUUUUAUCAGAGCAUGAAUGAUAAGAUAAAAGAGUUACUAGCAAGGUUAGAAAACUUUGUACAACUGAAAAGUGCUCUUGGUCUGGGAGAAGUUGCUGGGAGGAAGGUUUCGCAAAGAACUCAAACAACCUCCUUGGUUCUUGAACCUUAUGUAUAUGGUAGAGAUGAAGUCAAAGAAAAGUUAUCAAAAGUGUUGCUAUCUGAUGAAGCAGGCAAGGAUCCUGUGUCUUUCCUCACCAUUGUUGGAAUGGGUGGGGUUGGCAAGACAACCCUUGCUCGAAUGCUUUACAAUGACGAUAAGGUGAAAGGGCAUUUUAAACUUAAAGCUUGGGCUUGUGUUUCAGACUACGAUGAUUAUAUUAAAAUUACUAAAACUCUCCUUGAGGCAGUCACUUCAAAGCCUUGUAACACGGCAAAUCUGAAUUUGCUUCAAAAAGAUCUAAGAGAGCAAUUGAGGGGAAGGAAAUUUUUAUUUGUGUUGACCUAUGGAAUGAGAAUAAUGAGGAUUUGAACUACCUUAGAGCUCUUUUUAUUACUUUAGGAACAAUGGGAAGUAAAGUCAUUGUAACAACACGGAACAAAAAUGCAGCAUCUGUCAUGCAAAAUGUUCAUAUUCAAUACUUAGAACCAUUGUCGUAGGAGGACUGCUGGUUAUUACUUGCAAAACAUGCAUUUGGAAAUGAAAAGUGUAGUGCACAUUCAAACUUGGAAGACAUUGGAAAGCAAAUUGCACUCAAGUGCAAAGGGUUGCCUUUAGCUGCACAAACACUUGGGAGUUUGUUACGUUGCAAUAUGGAUUUCGAGUACUGGAAUAGAAUACUAAAUGAUAGUUUUUGGGACCAACCCUAUGAUAAAACUAACAUUCUUCCGGCUCUAGGGUUGAGUUACCAUUAUCUUCCUACUCAGUUGAAACGAUGCUUUGCUUAUUGUUCAAUUUUUCCAAAGGAUUAUGAGUUUGAAAAGGAAGAUAUAGUUCAAUUAUGGAUUGCAGAAGGUAUAAUUCCACAAGCUGAGAAUGGAAAAAGGAUGGAAGCAUUGGCUAGAAUAUACUUUGAUGAGCUGUUAUCACGAUCGUUGUUUCAAAAGUCAAGUAAAUUCAGCUUCAUUAUGCAUGAUCUCAUUAAUGACUUGGCUAUGUUCAUGUCUCAGGGGUUUUGCCUUAGGCUCGAAGAUGGGGUAUCCCGUGAAGUUAAAAGAGCUCGUCAUUUGUCAUAUGCUAGGGGAGAAUUUGAUGCUGCUCCAAGAUUUGAACCAUUAUAUGAGGCUAAAUGUUUGCGGACCUUCCUACCUACCAUUUGUUGUGGGCAAAUCUACUGGAUCAGGCAUAAGAGAACUGAGGCAGUUCCCGCAACUUCGAGGAAAACUAUCAAUUUUGAAGCUACAAAAUGUAGUUGAUGCGAGGGAUGCACUGCACGCCAAUAUGAAGCACAAGAAAGAUCUCAAGGAGUUAGAGCUUUCAUGGGGUGCGGAGGAUGCUGAUGAUUCCCAAAAGGAGAAAGAUGUACUCGACAAGCUCCAGCCUUGCGUGAAUUUGGAGAAAUUAACCAUCAAAUUCUAUGGUGGAACUAAUUUUCCGAAUUGGUUAGGAGACUCGUCUUUUUCUAACAUACAAGUCAUGCAUCUCAGUGACUGUAGUUAUUGUUGGUCGCUCCCACCAGUUGGACCGCUACCGGCACUCAAACAGCUCUGUAUAAGAAGAAUGAAGUUUGUGAAGACGAUUGGCGUUGAAUUCUAUGGCAGAAAUGGAGCUUAUCUGACUCAGCCAUUUCGAUCUCUGGAGAAGCUAGAGUUUAGGGAGAUGCCAGAGUGGGAGGAAUGGGUACCAAGUGGAAGUGCAAGUGGAGGUGAAUAUGGUCCAGACUUUCCUCGUCUCCAGGAGCUGAUUCUAUACGAGUGUCCGAAGCUAAGAGGAAGUUUGCCUUGUGAGUUGCCUUGCUUGAAGAAGCUUACGGUGUAUGGGUGUAAGGUUUUACAUGAUGGAAGGGCCAUUACCGCAACUACCAAUAGUCUUAACUAUAAAUCUCUGGAAGAAUUGAAUAUAAGUGGUGGAUGCCAAACUCUGUUAUCAUUAUUAGAGACAAAGCUCCUGUCCGGACUUGAGAUUCGAAAUGUUGUUGACAUACAGUGCUUGCCCAACUGCAGUCGUCUUCAACAUUUGACUCUUUCGAAUUGUCCAACGCUGUCAUCAUUUCCCAAAGAUGGCCUACCCACUACAUUGACAUCACUUUAUAUAAACAAUUGUAGGAAAUUAGAAUUCCUACCUCAUGAGAUGUUGGCCAAAUUAACAUCGCUUGACUAUUUGUGCAUACAAAAUAGCUGUGAUUCAAUGAGGUCCUUCCCGUUGGGCAUUUUUCCCAAAUUGACGAGGCUUGAAAUUCGUGGUUGUGAGAAUCUGGAAUCCCUUUCCUUGAUUGAAGAAGAAGGAGCUGUUGAGAAUCUCAGCCAUCUCAAUUACUUGCAAGUCUAUAACUGUCCAAAAAUGGUGUGUUUUCACGAGGGAGAAUUGCCCACUCCCAACCUGAGUCACUUUGUAGUCGGUGGUUGCGAGAAUUUGAAGUCAUUGCCCAAAAGCCUUCACACCCUCACUGCCCUUCGAUCUUUGUCGAUAUGUAAUCUUCCGAAUCUGGAGUCAUUUGCAGAAGAUGGGGGUUUGCCUCCCAACCUCCGACAAGUAAGUAUUAGGAAUUGUGAGAGACUGAGGGCUUCAUCAGUGGGUUUGCAAGCACUUGACUCCCUUGAGAUCAGUGGAAGUGACCAUGUAUUCUCUAUCACACUCUUCACAUCUAUUCUCUAUCAACUCUGAAAUCUUUGGACGGAAAGGGUCUUGGACACCUCACUUCUCUUCAAGAGCUAGAUAUUAACAGGUGUCCAAGUCUGGAAUUCCUGCCAGGAGAGGAACUUCAACACCUCACUUCUCUUCAAAAUCUAUACAUUUGGAACUGUCCCAGUCUUCAAUGCUUGCCAGAAGAGGGUUUUCCAUCAUCUCUUUCUCAUCUGAGUAUCCGCCGGUGUCCUACCCUGGAGGAAAGGUAUAAGAAUAAAACGGGACGAGAUUGGG
rnacentral:lncRNA from 1 species